rnacentral:lncRNA from 1 species
UGGGAACUCGGGGACAGGCGAGGCAAUGGCCUCAAUUGUUUUGUGCUAUAGCAUUUUUGCUUAUAGCCACCACGACCAAGGCAUCGGCUGAUGAUUAUGCCUCAGCACCACCACCAAAGUAUUCUUCUCCACCUCUUUACUACUACAAAUCACCACCUCCUCCUUCUCCCUCUCCACCUCCACCAUAUUAUUACAAGUCUCCCCCACCACCAUCUCCGUCUCCUCCACCACCUUACUACUACACGUCACCACCGCCACCAGUGCAUUCUCCCCCGCCACCUUACUACUACAAGUCACCACCGCCACCAGUGCAUUCUCCUCCGCCACCUUACUACUACAAAUCUCCGCCGCCACCAAAGCAUUCUCCCCCGCCACCUUACUACUAUAAGUCACCACCACCACCAGUGCAUUCUCCCCCGCCACCUUAUUACUACAAAUCUCCGCCGCCACCAAAGUAUUCUCCCCCGCCACCUUAUUAUUACAAAUCUCCGCCGCCACCAAAGCAUUCUCCUCCACCACCUUACUACUACAAAUCUCCACCACCACCAAACCAUUCUCCCCCACCACCUUACUACUAUAAGUCACCACCACCACCAAAGCAUUCUCCCCCACCUCCUUAUUACUACAAAUCUCCACCACCACCAAUGUAUUCUCCACCACCACCUUACUAAUACAAAUCUCCGCCAUCGCCAUCUCUAUCCCCGCCUCCAUCUUACAUUUAUAAAUUCCCACAACCAUCAUCUAUACCACCUCCACCAUGACCUCUAUCACGGUCAUUAUUGCUUCCUUACUACUCCAAGUCACCGCCAACUCCUUUAUCUCCACCUUCACCGUAUUACUACAAUCACCCCCACCUCCCAAAGACUACUACGUUCAGUAUCCCUUCUUGAAACAAGUUUAAAAUUCAAUAAGAAUAAAUUUGUUCCUUUGGUUGCCUUUUUUUUUAAUUUUUUACUAAGUUCAAUGCCCCUUCUUGAAACAAGUUUCAAAUUCAAUAAGAAUAAAUUUGUUCCUUUGGUUGCCUUUUUAUGCUUUUUUGUGUCAAUUUUUUUACAAAUAAUUUGUAAGAAGCGUUCAGUGCAUCAUUUGUCAUGUGCAAUAAAAAUCUUCUAACUUAAUGUAUCCCCAAAAAAAAAAAAAAAAAUUGUUCUAUAAGAAUUAUUCUAUUGUUUUAUCACAAAUGUGUUGUGGCGCAUAUAAUGCUCCCGGAUGAAGUAAUAUUAUGUCUUGAUGAACAAUCAUGCACAACAAUGAUCAUGUACAUAGUUCUUCCAACGUCAUGAUAAUGUCCAUGCACAUAAUAACAAACUUCUUCCUCAUAAUAUCAAAGAAAAUGAAGAUACAAGCCUCUUAUUCUUUAGUCAUUCACUCAAACAACAUUGUUUUAACUUAGGUUUUGAUCAAUCUUAAUGCUAAUAAAUGCUAACUACAUAUCAAAUACAAGAUCAACAAAAACCAGAUUUUAAAUUAAUCAGAAAAACAAACACUAGACUUAACCAAGCAGUUAAGCUUUAUUAUUCUCCCUCAGUAAAGGAUACAAAGAUGUAGGUGGAUUACAAGCUAUCACUGAAAAAAUAGAAAUCAUCUAAAAUGGUGAACAAAUGAGCUCUAAAUCUGUUGCACUCAUUUGUUCAACUAAGCAAUGAAAUUACCCUUUUCUAUUUUAACUGCUUGUCUACUUUAACACGGCAACUUUAAAUAACAACCUUCAACUUGAAAAAUUUGAGUAACCAGAGCCAUCAAUAACGGUAAAUCUUGACAAAAAUUUUAGUUUAAUUAAGGCCAUAAACAUAAUAUUAAAUAAUAAAAAAAAAAGGCCAUAAACAUAGUGUUGAAAUACCAUUAUACCUGUGAACGAACUUUUGAUGGUUAUUAAACUCAUGAACCCUCAAUUUUUGUAUUAUGAAUAUGCUCAUGGCCUAUCUUAGGUCUCCUCUAUGAACCACUUUUUUUUUAAAAAAAUUAUAUUCAUUAUGAUACUAAGGUAUAAGUAGAAGUAAAGUUCUUUUAAUAUUUUUGUAACCAGGAUGUGACAACCUAGGUGAUACGUGAAUUGGUUAUUUGCACAUUUUGCUACAUUUUUGUGAGUUUGCUUGCUGGUUUUCUCUUUGUUCCAACAAUUCACACAUAGGAUAAUCUCAUUUUAACAAAGAAAGAUACCACUAAAAUACAACAAAACAUGAUCAAUUCUAAUAUACUAGAAAACUUUUUUUUUUUGUUUGCCUUUUCAUAUAUUAGAGUUGUGUUUUUGUUAUCUUAUAGUGGCAUCUAUGCAGUUUAACUAAAUGAGAAUAUUCUCAUUUGAGAAUUAUUAAUAAGAGAGUAGUAGACAAAUGAUACCCAACUAUACUGCUUCACUAUUAACAACACAUCCAAUUGAGUAAUGAUAGAGAGUCAAUUCUAUCACCAAAUGAAAGCAAACAAAAGCUGAAAUAUUUUAGUGAAUAUCUUUAAAGUUUGAAUUAAUAAUAAAAUUGUCCCAAAAAACUGUCUUAAUGGAACUAAUGUGCGAUUUAUUUGUAGGGUGAAUAAAUAUCAUUUUCCAGAAAAAAAUAUAGUCAAAAUAUGGAAAGCUUGUUCUGCAAGUGGUUGAUAUUGAUGUACAUUAAUGUCAAAGAUACAUUAAGUGCAUGCCAAAUUCUAUUAUAAAAUUUAUAAAUGUAUAAGUAGAAGAUUUUAUAAAUUAAUUCCUGUAAAACGUCGGUUAUAUGAAUAAAUGGUGAAGAGAAAGCUGUAAUAAUUAUCGUAAUUACAAUUUUCUUGAGCACGCUUUGACGUACGAUUAACAAAAAAGGUCUGUAUAUGAGCAAUCGGCCGUACAUUAUCUUAACCACCUGAUUUUGUUUUUUUUUUUUGUAAUUUCAAUCUUGGCCGUUGGAGUCAAUGAAAAGAUCGUUCAAAUGGUAGAGAUUUGUCUAUUUGAUUAUUAACAUUAUGCUUCCCGAUGGUUAUCAAAAACCCAAACAAAUUAAAGAGUUAAAACUUUUAGCACAUAAGUCCGAAUUGUUUCAAAUUUAUGUUGUUUAAUCACUAGUGAGUCUCAAAAAAUAAAUUUAUUUUAAUAUUAUAUAUUUUAUUUAAAAGAAUUAAUUUUUUAUAUCAUUUAUUUUAUUAAAAAUAAAUAUUAUUGAAUACUAAUUAUUCUCAUUUUAUUUAAUAUUAUUUAGUUAUAGGCUUAUUAUUAUAUUUAAUUGUUCAAAAAACUAAAAAAAUUUAAAUAAAAUAAAGUAAUUGAUGGUUGUCGAAGCCAACAAAAAUAAAUUCCUACUCUAAAUAAAUUGUGUAUAGUGAUUGAGCAGGGUCGUGUCCACAGAGAUCGGUAAUUAUUUAAAUCCUUUUGAAACGUAAAACGUAAAAUGGGGGAAUUGUUGACAAUAAUAAAAAUCAAAUUAAAAUAACAAGAAUGCAAAUUAAAGUUGUAAUUCAAAUUGGAGAAAGCUCUGGUUGAAGGAAUUAACUCAGCUUGAUUCGACUACUGAUCAUUGAUUCAAAUAUAGAUUAUUAUUACUCAUGAAUAGACCGGUUAUAGCUACUGAGACCCUCUAAUAGCCAAUCUCUCCUUAACUAGUCGAUAACCAAGGUACGACCGUUGGAUAUUCCCUAAUCAAUAGACAACCCUAGAUACGAUCAUAGAAUUUAAUCAAUUGACAGCCUGAAAAACCAGAAAGACCCAAAUCCUAAUCAACACAUAUGAUGAUUCAUUUAAAUUAAAUUGUUUAUUCUCACAACACAACUCUCUGCUAUGUCAUUUGUCACAAACAUUAAAUUCUUCAUACGAUGAAUCCCUUAAUUGACAAUAGAUUAAGUUGAUAAUUAAAUAGUGGCCAACUGCUGUACGGCCAAGGCGGAUGUACGGUACAGCAGAAUACAUUCCCUUACUCAACUAACAAAGUCUUUCAUUUAUCUGAAAACAGUUCCAAUUUUGAAAUAUCAGUGUCAAACUUUUCCCAGCAACAUAUUUAUCAUCUCUCCACAUUAUCCUUAACUGACAGCAGCUUGGAAGAUCUUCAAUCAGCAAGUUCAGAAAGCAAUGAACAAGUACCUUCUGUUUCUGCACACACAAAUAAUCUGCAUCAACAAGAGCAUUCUNNNNNNNNNNNNNNNNNNNNNNNNNNNNNNNNNNNNNNNNNNNNNNNNNNNNNNNNNNNNNNNNNNNNNNNNNNNNNNNNNNNNNNNNNNNNNNNNNNNNNNNNNNNNNNNNNNNNNNNNNNNNNNNNNNNNNNNNNNNNNNNNNNNNNNNNNNNNNNNNNNNNNNNNNNNNNNNNNNNNNNNNNNNNNNNNNNNNNNNNNNNNNNNNNNNNNNNNNNNNNNNNNNNNNNNNNNNNNNNNNNNNNCAGCAGAAUAAAAUAUUAUUAAUUUUAUUUUUUUUAUUUUGCUAUCUUACUAAUAAUUGGCAAUAAUAAUAAUAAUAAUAAUAAUAAUAAUAAUAUCUUUAAGGUUAAUGAUUUUAUUUUCUAAUUAAUAUGGAUAAUUUUAGAUUUUUAUAAUAUAUAUGACGAUAAACACGAAAUUAAGUAUAAAACUAAUUCUCAAAAUCCGAUUUUAAAAAUCUACUUUUUCCCUACUUUUUAAAAUCUUCAGUAAGAUAAGGUAAAUUUACCAAAAGUGAUUUCUGAAAAUAUUUAUCAAAUAAUAAAAUUAAUUUGUAACUUUUCAAAAUAACUUUUAAAUCUCGCAAAAAAAAAUCCUAAAUGAGUCCUAAGUACCUAACUUUAUGACGGUCAACAAAUAUGGUAUAAAAGUCUUCUACACCUACUGGGCAUUUGAAUGGGCCAUCUGUCUUAGCUCUUACCUCUUAAAAUGGGCUAAAAAUCAGAGAGUCAGUUAACUAAUAUGGGCUAAAAUUUGGGUACACCUCUCGGGCAUGUUAAUGGGCCAUCAUCUUUCACAGGUUUCUAAAGGGUAAAGGCUUUCUGUCUCCCAAGACUUCGACUAGUGAAAUUUAAUCGAUAUAAAUAUGUAGCUACCUAUAUUUAUAUAAGAAAAUGAUGUUCUCAUAAAUUUGCGUGCAAAGAUUUGCACAAAACGGUGCGUUUUGUGCAGCUUUAAAAAUGCUCUUCGUACGUGCACCAAACAACACACAAGCACGCCAAUUCACAACAUCAUUUUCCCACUCGCGUCUGCCUCCUUUCACUGCAACAAAAACCCAGCAGCUUCGUUCUCCACACAGCAAGAAGUCUCCUUAUUAAUAUAAUAUUAUAUAAUAAACUCAACAGAAGUCUCCUUUCUUCCUCCAUUUUUCCUCACGAGAUAGCUCCGAUCUCUCUCCCUCCGUCCUCCUUUCUUCCUUACAAGACAGCUCGGGUCUCUCUCUCUGGCCUCCUUUCUCCCUCACAAGAUAGUUCGGAUCUCUCUUUCCAGUCUCCACGCCGCUAAUAGUCCCAGUUCUAACCUCUCUCGCCCCGCAGCAACCAUAAGAUCUCUCUCUCACCCGUUUCAAUUCAUUGCUCUAAUUGAAAUCUUUAACUCGUUUAGGACAUUGUGCUGAAUUACCUAUGGAUGGUGGUGGUCUUAUGCUUGAGUGUUGUAAAUUAGAAUCAAAUUAUGCAAAACCUGAUGCCUUUGGGAAUCAUGUUUAUUUCAAGCUUCUAUGUUGUGAUUUGAUUAUUUGAUGAAGCACCUGGAAAAUGUAGUUUGCUCCCUCAAAUUAUUUUACUCUGUUGAAUAAAUUGUAUUUGCCAUUAUUUGAAAAGAAUUUAAAAAAAAAUUACAGCCCCGAAACAUUGAGCUUAUGCUAUAAUUUAAGCAUCUCCCUCAUUUAUAGCACAUUUAUUUUCAUAAUUUACGCGACAAUGGAGAACGGAGCCGAGACUGUUAGUGGCAUGGGGAUGAGAGAGAAAAAUAUGAGCUGUUUCGUGAGGUUUUGUUAGGUUUCGUGAGGGAGAAAGGAGAUGGGAGAGAGAGACGCUGAGUUUUGUUGCUCCCCUCACUUGUGUGUGUUUGGUGUUAAAACUUUGCAGCAAAGAGUGGCUUUUAUACUUUGCACAAAACGCACCGUUUUGUGCAAAGUUUUGUGCAAAGUGUUGUGAGAACAUCAUUUUCCAUUUAAAUAUUGGCUUUUCAUUUUUUUUCAAAUGAGAAUUGAUCCAGUGUGCACCAUCAUGCACAGCACAAGGUAUAUUUUCAUCAGUGGGCGCUAGGUCUCAUAGAUUGGUUCUCUCUAAUAAGAACAUGUCGUCUGUUGUCCCGCGCUAGAUCGAAUGCGUUUUCAAAUUUGUCAAAUUACAUUUUGAGCAUGUCAUAGUGGACGUUAUUACAAAGUCGUCAAUCUCAAUACAAUAAUCAUGACAUCAGGUUUUGAGAAUGUGAAUAAAACUCAUAUUUAUUUGAUAAAAUAUAAUUUAAAAAUAAAAAUAAAAUAUGUAUAUUCUAUAUAAUUUGAUAAUAAAAAAUAGAAAUCUCAUUUUUAUAUUGGGUUGGGAAUGAGGAUUCCUAUUUCUUGAACUGACUUUUAUAUCUCUCUAUUUUUUUCAUAUUUUUUAAAUUAUUCUCGUUUAAAUCACAAUUAAUUUGAUUACUGCUGUACGGCCAAGGCGGAUGCAAUAGAAUUGCACCUACAAAAGUAAAACAUAAGUAAAUCACUAUUAUUAAGUGCAAAACAUUGAUAUUAAGGGAAGUAAAUAAUGCAAAACUAGUGCAUAAAUUGCACUCUAACAGUAAUCAGUAAUCAGCAUUAAAAAUUAAAUUAAAUUAAAUUUUUUUGUUUUUAAUAUUAUUUAGUUAUAGACUUAUUAUUAUAUUUAUUCGUUCAUAAAACUAAAUAAUGUUAAAUCAAAUAAAAUAAUCAGGAAUGGUUCUUAAAAAAUUAAUAUUAUUUAUUUUAUUUUAUUUAAUAUUAUUUAGUCAUAGCCUAUUAUUCUGUUUAUUUUUUGAAAAUUAAAUAAUAUUAAAUAAAAAUCCCCCCUUUUCACAAUAGAUUCCUCCCUUCAAUACUCUCUCUCUCCUCUCUUUUAGAAUUCUAUUUAAAAUAAAAUACUAAUAUCUGAAAUAUUAAAUUCGUAAUUACAAAAAUAACCAAAAAUACAAAAUACGUUAAACUAAAAACUGCAGGUCCGCAGUUGACAGCACGCGCCCACGCCUUAUCAACAAAGUUCUUCUGACGCUCAUAAUUUCUCCAAGAGAACAAUCAUCCUUAAACAUCAUCUUAUAGCUCAAUUUUAUCAUCAAUCAAUAGAAUUACACCUACAAAAGUAAAACACAAGUAAAACAUUAUUAUUAAGUGCAAAACAUCGAUAUUAAGGGAAGUAAACAAUGCAAAACUAGUGCAUAAAUUGCACUCUAACAAAUUCCCCCACACCAAGAUGAUGCUUGUCCUCAAGCAUAUAACUCAAGACUAAUCUCAAAUCUCCACUAAAUUCUCAUCUCAACUCAUCCAAAAAUAAUUUUAAGCAAGCAUACCUCAAGAAAUUAAGUCGAUCAACAUUCGAGAGACAAGGAUUUUUAAAGCAUAGAAUCUCAUAAGAUAGAAUAAGAACAUUCAACCACCAAGAAGAUCCAUUCAAAAUUCAAGUGCAACAAGAUGUAAUAGCCCUCUCAAUAACUUCACUCCAUGCACUCAAAGUGUUUAGGGUAUCAUUUAUGCACUCAAAUCAAAUCAAAGAAUGCUAUUACCAUAAGCUUGCUCAUAUAUCACAUCUCAAUCCACAAAACAUGAAUAAAAUGAAAAAAUCUAAGGGUCUUAAAAGGGUUGUAAUGGGGUUAAAUAGGUUAAAUGAAAAAGAAAGGUCUAUGAAAGAAAAAGAGAUCAAAAUGAGAAGAAUGAACUCAUUGAAUGAACUUAUGAUAUCAAAAUGCUCCUUGGCCGUACAGCAGGAAUGGUUCUUAAAAAAUUAAUAUUAUUUAUUUUAUUUUAUUUAAUAUUAUUUAGUCAUAGCCUAUUAUUCUGUUUAUUUUUUGAAAAUUAAAUAAUAUUAAAUAAAAUAGAAUAGAAAAUGUGAGUCCUUAAAAAUAAAAAUUAUUUUUAAUAUUAUUUAUUUUAUUUAAAAGAAUAAAUUUUUUAAUAUUUUUAUUUUAUUAAAAAAUAUUAUUUAAUAUUAUCUAGUCAUAGGCUUAUUAUUAUAUUUCUUCUUUUAGAAAGUUAAAUAGUAUUAAAUGAAAUAAAAUUACAUUUUAGAAGGUCAUUAGCCAAAGCACAUAAACUUAUAAACAAAUGGAAAUAAAAAAGGUAAAUAAUAUUCAAUAAAAUAAAAUUACAUUUUAAAAGGUCACCAACCAAAGCACAUAAUAUUAUAACAAAAAUGUAAAUAAAAAAGAAAGUAAGAGAUUCAAUGAAAUUUAACAUCACAAAAGACAAUUUCAAAAAUUGGGGGUAGCUUGCAACUGUUGCAAAGUGGCUGGUUCCAUAAUUUUGAGAUAAUGUUUCGGUUUCAAAUAUUGUUAUCGAUACCUAAUUAUAAGUAAUAAAAAAAUAUUGUAUAAUUUUUUUACCAACAUUUACAAUACAUUUUAUUUUGAUUUCUGAAAAAAAUAGAUAAAACACAAAUUAAUUAUUUUAACCCUCUAUUCUCUCAAUAUUUAAACUCGAAUAAUCAGUUAAAAGUUGCUCGAGAAUGUUUAAAAGCCAUUUAAGUAUACCACGUCAUUCAUGUUUUGCAAUCAUUCAAUUGUUAAUAAGUUUCCCAUGUGCUGAAAAUAAAUAAAAAUGCACGUGCAUAUGUCAUAUUGUCUCCGAAACCUCACAGCGGAAUGAGUGUAGUACUUGCAAUGCAUGUACUUUAGACUUUGUAUUUCUCUUAUUUAAAUGAUCAAUAAUUUUUCUUUGUCCUUUAAUUAGACGUCAACAGUCGAAGUUGUGGGCAAGUAGUAGGCUAUAUAUAAUAAUUUCCUGGAGAUCUUCCGUCUUCUAAGACAUUGCAAAUGCCAAACGUGAUAACUAUUUUGAUAAUUCAAAUACUACAUAAAAUAUAUGAAGUGUCAGACAAGUCAAAAGAAUUGAUUCUUCACAAUUGUAUAUACGUAUACACACACUUUGCCCAAAUCCCAUUGUAUCCAGGCUGUAAUUUUUAUAUUAAACGAACAUAUUUUAUUUUAUGUCAGCAAUAUUGAUGCAGGCUGGUGGAACAACAGCUUCAGGAUGGUCAACUACCCUUCGGAUCAUUGCAAGUGGGAUGGCAUCACUUGCAAUUCAGAUGGAACCAUAAUCGGGCUAAAAUUAUCAGGGUAUGAUGUUGACUUCAAAAGGUAGUCUUCGUAAAAUUAUCAUGGUAUAAUAUACGUAUUUAUUUUCGCAUACAUAAAUAAAUAACAAAAUUGUAAUUAAUUGGAUACAACUUCAGCUUUUGGACUGGUUUGUGAAAAUCGGAAAAAUUUAAAAAUGCUCCUCUUGAACAAUCAAAAUCUACUUUAUACGUGAACAAAGGGGAUGAUUCGUAAAGAUAAUUCAUCAAUGUUUGAUUACUUUCAGAAAGAUAGACUUCAUUUGAUCUCGUCCCAAAGCAUAAUUUCACUUUGAAUUUGAAAAAGAAUAAUGAAGUUCAUACGAUGCUGUUGUGACCUUUUUUUUUUGUUUUCUUUUUUUCUCGACGUUGUUUUGUGAAUCAUAAGGGUUAAUUUAGUACGGUGGGUUCGCUUGUAUGAAGCGUACUUAUUGUACCAUUCUGUUGCAAGUAAUGAAAAAACGCUAUAAUUUUUUUUAGGUUUCUACAAGUAUUAUGUUAUCUUAUAUCUAACUGUGCAUCUCUAUUCUUUGCUCUCAGUUCAGGUUCUCUAAAAGUAUAUUAAUUAUGAAAAGCAUUAAAGGUUCCGAAACUCUAUUUUGCGGGGAAAAAGAACCUCCAUUUUUGGUUUUUUAUUAUCAUAAGAGGUUUUACUAUGCUCGUAAUAACUUAAUCGAAAUUAAACAUAUCACUGGUCUACAUUUUUUUAUCAGAUUUUGUGCCUUGCUAAUUAAGAUGAGUAUCACCAUCAAAUCAACAAGCUUAUACCUUCAAAGAAAAAUAGACUAUAAGUCGGGAGAAAGAAGAAGAAAAAAAAAAAGAAGCUUCGCAAUUUAUGCUGUUGGUUGUGAGUUCAUGAAACAAAUAAAAAUAUGAAAUCAAACAUUUAUCCAAAAUUUAAAAUUAAAAAAAAACUCUAUAUCUACAGUAAUCUGUUCAAACCACAUAGGUGGAGCAAUAGAGUUCCAAGACGUGGUUUUAAAACAUGUCUUUGUGAUAAACAAUAUCGUGAUACUUGCGCCAAUUCCCAUGCCAAUAAUUGCCUACAUUUAUCCAAGAUCCAUGGCCAGGUUUAGAAUGUGCUAGUCUUCUUUCACUUUCAUAAAUAACCACUACUAGGUAAUCAGAGUGUCGGUCUAAAUUUUUCGGAGAUACAACGUCAAUGUAUGUGCCCGGAGUUGAAGCUGAACGCGCUUAAAUAUGUUCGGAAUUUGAAGUUGAACGCCUGGAAAAGGAUGCAGACUGAAGAAAGGCAAUUCCUGGAAUUUGUCUUUGGUAAGAAAACAUGGCUGCUUAUGCCCUUUGAAAGACUGAAGAAACCAAAUUGAUUAUUGCUGCAAUUUAGUGGCACGUGUACAAGGAGAGGCAUCCGAUUAAACUUGUUCAUAAAAUUAUUGCUGAUAGUUGCAGCCGAUCUCCAUGAAGUACAAACCCAACGCAAAGAAACAAAGUGUUCGUACAAUUUUAUCCGCCAGCAAUUUCGACCAAGAGACCUUGAUGCAGUUCAGACCAAUUCGCCAGUUGAACAUCAAGUUGCCUAGGCAUUGAGAAUUAGGUCAAUAAAAUAUAUCCUGGGUCACUUACAAAAGAUGAAAUAAGUGAAAAAGGAAAGAUGACGUAAUAAUUUCUUAGUGAGAAAAGUUAGUUAAUUUUCAAUUGCUUUCAUUGUUUUGAUAAUUUUCAAAACAUUUCAUUGCUUUCAUUGCGUAAUUAAGCUUUUUUUGCUUCAAAAUAUUUCAAAUUGUGUUUGUGGGACUACUAAACAAUUAGGACACAACAAUGUUUCGUUCUGGUCUUUUUUUUUUUUUACUUUUUAAUUUAUUUUAAGAAAAUCUUUGUCCAUCUCUCAUCCUGCCAAAUAUAUCGUCUCGUCUUGUUAUCUAGAAUAAUUCUUCAUGCAUCAAUGAGUUUUGACAAAUUUUUAUCUUUUAAAAGUUGUUGUAAUUCAAUAUAGCUAAAAUCUUAAAUACAUACAUGUAGAAUAAUCUAAGCAUUACCUUAUUCGGGGAAAAUCGAGAUUAGAAUCAAUCAAAGCAAUGAUACCUUAUAUCAGUGAGAUAUAUGCAAGACUCACCCAUUGGUACAAACGAAAAUGAUCAAAGUGGAAGCAAAAAUGGAAUCCUCAAAUGUGGUGAUAAUUUAGAUGAUCUCCACUCUCCAUUUGGUUUCAUCUAAUAAGUUAGUGUUUAAUUAAGAAUUUAUUACUCAUUUUAUUAUGAUAUUAAUCAACUGCCGUCCCUUCCAUUAGUUCAUUAUUUUUGAUGGAUUACGAAAGACAGACAAUAAAAUUCUCCAAAACUGUUGUAAGAGUAAUAUUGUAAAAGUUACAUAAAAGUGAGGAUAAGGAUAAUUUGAGGUAUGUUUCAAGAUAUAAAGAUUAAAUAAAUUCUUAACUCAAAAUAAAGAGAUUUAUUUUUUUUAAAAGAGAUUAAAAUGUCAUGAUAAAUAAAUAAGGGAGGUGAUAUUCUGGGCUCUCCCCUGGCUUUUUGUGAUAACAUCUUAAAUUAAUAUAAAUAGUUAAAAUUUUAUUAAAAAAUAAAUUUUUACCUAAUACUCUUUGACAUAGCUAGGAAUAUAGCCUACUUGCAAGAGACUUACAUUCGUUUGCACAGCCCUUUCGUGAAUAUAAAAUUGCUGCCGAAUAAGCAUCUAAUUAAAAGAAUUAGGAAUUUGUCAACGGUAUAAAUUAAAUAUAAAAAACGAGUAAAAGAAUUUGUCAAUGGGAUAUGGGGGGCUAUGGCUUCAAUCGUAGGGGUGGGCAAAUUUCGGAUUCCGAAUCCGAUCGGAUUUUGGAUAAUUCGGAUUGGGAAAAAAUCCAUCCAAAUUCAAUCCGAACCUUAAAUCUGUUUCGAUCCGAGAUAAUUUCGGAUCCGGAUCAGAUUCGGAUGAGUUUGAAUUUCAGAUUAUAUUUCAAGUUCGGAUUAUAUUUUGGAUUCGGAUUAAUUCGGGUUUGGGACCUUUUUACAAUUCUCACAAAAAAAUUAUGAAAUUUAUAAUUAAUGAAAAAUAAUUUCCAUGAUGCUGUCAACAAUAAUUAAUAUUUUGAAAACGCAAUAACGGAAUUUUCAAAAAAAAGAAAAAGAAAACACAGGAACGGUAUUGAUAAAGAAUUUUCAUUAGCCAUUUGUGACUGCUAACUAAAUUGUAACAACUAAGUAAAAUAUAAUAAUAAUAAUAAUACAUGCGGGUAUAUUCAAAGCAACUAAAUCACUUGCGAAUGAUCAAGACAAAUCGUAUAAACAAGUAAAAAAUUCAAAGUUUCAAACGCAAAUCGUCGGGGGCUAUCGGAUUAGUGGAUUACCAUUAACAAGACGAGGUUUAUGUCGGUGUGAGUUGCUCAUUGUGGGUCUGGAUGAUGUCGCGAUGGCUGGGUUUGUGCCAACUAUGAUCCAGCUAGGUUUGUAUCGAAUCUGAUCUCGUCUAGAGGACGUUGUGGCGGCUGGGUUUGUGUCGAAUUCAUUCGGUUUGUCUCGUCGGCGACAUGGUUGUUGGUUGGCUCGUCAGGUUGUGGCCCGUGGGUGUGGUGUGGUUUGUUGUCGUGGAUUGACUUAUCAAAGGGCGUGCGACGAUGGUGUGUGGUUUUGUCAUUUGGAAAUUGAGUUUUGAUUUUUCAUUUUCGUUUUUUUAAAAAAAAAUUUUUGGAUUAUUCGGAUUGAACUGAAUCUUAUCCGAUCCAAAUCAAAUCCGAUCAGAUUACAAAAAUUUCAUCCGAUUGGAUUUUAAAGCAAAUCCAAAUCCGAUCCGAACAAAUUCGGAUCGAAUUGGAUUAGAUCGGAUCUAUCCGAAUCUGAUCCAAUGUCCACCCCUAUUCAAUCGGUUUCUGCAAUGGUUAAUGGCAUAUUUUUGCUCAUCGUCACCACUGAAUCCACUGAUCAUUUGUGCAUGUGAGUUGUUUUUGAGCAUUUAUUUUUCCCUUUAGAAGCAUAAGGAUAAGGCUAGUCUUCUUUUUGGGAGGACUUAUUGCUUCCAUUCGUUAAAAUUGGGCAUGUAAAAUGUCAAGAAAAAAUGGCCUAAGUGGCUAGCUAGAUGAUAUAAUGGAUGGUUACUACUCAAACCUAGCAAUAAAUGAAUGUCCGACAAGCAUUCAAAUGAAUGAAUAAAACCAAUCAGAUUAGAAUAUCUAUUUAUGAUAGAUUAAUGAAAAUACGAUUCAAAUAUAAGGUAAAUAAUCUCUCCAUUAAUUUUUUAUUGUUUCAGGCAGGGUUGCCAAGCCUCUGUCCGGGCUUCUAUAAGCUCAAUUCCAGCUCUCCUAUAUGAUUGAAUUAGAUCGGGCUAGGCCCUCGGACUUUUUAAUUAAAAAAGGUCGAUUUUUAAGUUUAUGAAGUUAAUACACUCACGCUUAUACUUUAAUAUUUUUAUUAUUUGGCUUUUAGAAUAUUAACGUGUAAAUUACUUUUUUUUUUCAAGUGAAAUAAUUAUCACAUUUUGUCUUCUUAGUAUAUAUUUCUACCUUUUUGUUCCUAUAGAUAUUUCCUCAUUUCAUCUUUGGUACUAGAGCGUAGUAAAAAAACACAUGAUUAAAGAUAAAUAUGACAUUUUAACUAACAAAUUAAUUAUUUGUAUCUAAGAUCUAGCUCUAGUGGUAAAGAUCAAUUUUCAUCGAAUUCAAGUCUUGGGUUUGAAUUUAAAUGCAUGGGUAAGUUAAUAAUAAUAAUAAUAAUAAUAAUAAUAAUAAUAAUAAUAAUAAUAAUAAUAAUAAUAAUAAUAAUAAUAAUAAUAAUAAUAAUAAUAAUAAUAAUAAUAAUAAUAAUAAUAAUAAUAAUAAUAAUAAUAAUAAUAAUAAUAAUAAUAAUAAUAAUAAUAAUAAUAAUAAUAAUAAUAAUAAUAAUAAUAAUAAUAAUAAUAAUAAUAAUAAUAAUAAUAAUAAUAAUAAUAAUAAUAAUAAUAAUAAUAAUAAUAAUAAUAAUAAUAAUAAUAAUAAUAAUAAUAAUAAUAAUAAUAAUAAUAAUAAUAAUAAUAAUAAUAAUAAUAAUAAUAAUAAUAAUAAUAAUAAUAAUAAUAAUAAUAAUAAUAAUAAUAAUAAUAAUAAUAAUAAUAAUAAUAAUAAUAAUAAUAAUAAUAAUAAUAAUAAUAAUAAUAAUAAUAAUAAUAAUAAUAAUAAUAAUAAUAAUAAUAAUAAUAAUAAUAAUAAUAAUAAUAAUAAUAAUAAUAAUAAUAAUAAUAAUAAUAAUAAUAAUAAUAAUAAUAAUAAUAAUAAUAAUAAUAAUAAUAAUAAUAAUAAUAAUAAUAAUAAUAAUAAUAAUAAUAAUAAUAAUAAUAAUAAUAAUAAUAAUAAUAAUAAUAAUAAUAAUAAUAAUAAUAAUAAUAAUAAUAAUAAUAAUAAUAAUAAUAAUAAUAAUAAUAAUAAUAAUAAUAAUAAUAAUAAUAAUAAUAAUAAUAAUAAUAAUAAUAAUAAUAAUAAUAAUAAUAAUAAUAAUAAUAAUAAUAAUAAUAAUAAUAAUAAUAAUAAUAAUAAUAAUAAUAAUAAUAAUAAUAAUAAUAAUAAUAAUAAUAAUAAUAAUAAUAAUAAUAAUAAUAAUAAUAAUAAUAAUAAUAAUAAUAAUAAUAAUAAUAAUAAUAAUAAUAAUAAUAAUAAUAAUAAUAAUAAUAAUAAUAAUAAUAAUAAUAAUAAUAAUAAUAAUAAUAAUAAUAAUAAUAAUAAUAAUAAUAAUAAUAAUAAUAAUAAUAAUAAUAAUAAUAAUAAUAAUAAUAAUAAUAAUAAUAAUAAUAAUAAUAAUAAUAAUAAUAAUAAUAAUAAUAAUAAUAAUAAUAAUAAUAAUAAUAAUAAUAAUAAUAAUAAUAAUAAUAAUAAUAAUAAUAAUAAUAAUAAUAAUAAUAAUAAUAAUAAUAAUAAUAAUAAUAAUAAUAAUAAUAAUAAUAAUAAUAAUAAUAAUAAUAAUAAUAAUAAUAAUAAUAAUAAUAAUAAUAAUAAUAAUAAUAAUAAUAAUAAUAAUAAUAAUAAUAAUAAUAAUAAUAAUAAUAAUAAUAAUAAUAAUAAUAAUAAUAAUAAUAAUAAUAAUAAUAAUAAUAAUAAUAAUAAUAAUAAUAAUAAUAAUAAUAAUAAUAAUAAUAAUAAUAAUAAUAAUAAUAAUAAUAAUAAUAAUAAUAAUAAUAAUAAUAAUAAUAAUAAUAAUAAUAAUAAUAAUAAUAAUAAUAAUAAUAAUAAUAAUAAUAAUAAUAAUAAUAAUAAUAAUAAUAAUAAUAAUAAUAAUAAUAAUAAUAAUAAUAAUAAUAAUAAUAAUAAUAAUAAUAAUAAUAAUAAUAAUAAUAAUAAUAAUAAUAAUAAUAAUAAUAAUAAUAAUAAUAAUAAUAAUAAUAAUAAUAAUAAUAAUAAUAAUAAUAAUAAUAAUAAUAAUAAUAAUAAUAAUAAUAAUAAUAAUAAUAAUAAUAAUAAUAAUAAUAAUAAUAAUAAUAAUAAUAAUAAUAAUAAUAAUAAUAAUAAUAAUAAUAAUAAUAAUAAUAAUAAUAAUAAUAAUAAUAAUAAUAAUAAUAAUAAUAAUAAUAAUAAUAAUAAUAAUAAUAAUAAUAAUAAUAAUAAUAAUAAUAAUAAUAAUAAUAAUAAUAAUAAUAAUAAUAAUAAUAAUAAUAAUAAUAAUAAUAAUAAUAAUAAUAAUAAUAAUAAUAAUAAUAAUAAUAAUAAUAAUAAUAAUAAUAAUAAUAAUAAUAAUAAUAAUAAUAAUAAUAAUAAUAAUAAUAAUAAUAAUAAUAAUAAUAAUAAUAAUAAUAAUAAUAAUAAUAAUAAUAAUAAUAAUAAUAAUAAUAAUAAUAAUAAUAAUAAUAAUAAUAAUAAUAAUAAUAAUAAUAAUAAUAAUAAUAAUAAUAAUAAUAAUAAUAAUAAUAAUAAUAAUAAUAAUAAUAAUAAUAAUAAUAAUAAUAAUAAUAAUAAUAAUAAUAAUAAUAAUAAUAAUAAUAAUAAUAAUAAUAAUAAUAAUAAUAAUAAUAAUAAUAAUAAUAAUAAUAAUAAUAAUAAUAAUAAUAAUAAUAAUAAUAAUAAUAAUAAUAAUAAUAAUAAUAAUAAUAAUAAUAAUAAUAAUAAUAAUAAUAAUAAUAAUAAUAAUAAUAAUAAUAAUAAUAAUAAUAAUAAUAAUAAUAAUAAUAAUAAUAAUAAUAAUAAUAAUAAUAAUAAUAAUAAUAAUAAUAAUAAUAAUAAUAAUAAUAAUAAUAAUAAUAAUAAUAAUAAUAAUAAUAAUAAUAAUAAUAAUAAUAAUAAUAAUAAUAAUAAUAAUAAUAAUAAUAAUAAUAAUAAUAAUAAUAAUAAUAAUAAUAAUAAUAAUAAUAAUAAUAAUAAUAAUAAUAAUAAUAAUAAUAAUAAUAAUAAUAAUAAUAAUAAUAAUAAUAAUAAUAAUAAUAAUAAUAAUAAUAAUAAUAAUAAUAAUAAUAAUAAUAAUAAUAAUAAUAAUAAUAAUAAUAAUAAUAAUAAUAAUAAUAAUAAUAAUAAUAAUAAUAAUAAUAAUAAUAAUAAUAAUAAUAAUAAUAAUAAUAAUAAUAAUAAUAAUAAUAAUAAUAAUAAUAAUAAUAAUAAUAAUAAUAAUAAUAAUAAUAAUAAUAAUAAUAAUAAUAAUAAUAAUAAUAAUAAUAAUAAUAAUAAUAAUAAUAAUAAUAAUAAUAAUAAUAAUAAUAAUAAUAAUAAUAAUAAUAAUAAUAAUAAUAAUAAUAAUAAUAAUAAUAAUAAUAAUAAUAAUAAUAAUAAUAAUAAUAAUAAUAAUAAUAAUAAUAAUAAUAAUAAUAAUAAUAAUAAUAAUAAUAAUAAUAAUAAUAAUAAUAAUAAUAAUAAUAAUAAUAAUAAUAAUAAUAAUAAUAAUAAUAAUAAUAAUAAUAAUAAUAAUAAUAAUAAUAAUAAUAAUAAUAAUAAUAAUAAUAAUAAUAAUAAUAAUAAUAAUAAUAAUAAUAAUAAUAAUAAUAAUAAUAAUAAUAAUAAUAAUAAUAAUAAUAAUAAUAAUAAUAAUAAUAAUAAUAAUAAUAAUAAUAAUAAUAAUAAUAAUAAUAAUAAUAAUAAUAAUAAUAAUAAUAAUAAUAAUAAUAAUAAUAAUAAUAAUAAUAAUAAUAAUAAUAAUAAUAAUAAUAAUAAUAAUAAUAAUAAUAAUAAUAAUAAUAAUAAUAAUAAUAAUAAUAAUAAUAAUAAUAAUAAUAAUAAUAAUAAUAAUAAUAAUAAUAAUAAUAAUAAUAAUAAUAAUAAUAAUAAUAAUAAUAAUAAUAAUAAUAAUAAUAAUAAUAAUAAUAAUAAUAAUAAUAAUAAUAAUAAUAAUAAUAAUAAUAAUAAUAAUAAUAAUAAUAAUAAUAAUAAUAAUAAUAAUAAUAAUAAUAAUAAUAAUAAUAAUAAUAAUAAUAAUAAUAAUAAUAAUAAUAAUAAUAAUAAUAAUAAUAAUAAUAAUAAUAAUAAUAAUAAUAAUAAUAAUAAUAAUAAUAAUAAUAAUAAUAAUAAUAAUAAUAAUAAUAAUAAUAAUAAUAAUAAUAAUAAUAAUAAUAAUAAUAAUAAUAAUAAUAAUAAUAAUAAUAAUAAUAAUAAUAAUAAUAAUAAUAAUAAUAAUAAUAAUAAUAAUAAUAAUAAUAAUAAUAAUAAUAAUAAUAAUAAUAAUAAUAAUAAUAAUAAUAAUAAUAAUAAUAAUAAUAAUAAUAAUAAUAAUAAUAAUAAUAAUAAUAAUAAUAAUAAUAAUAAUAAUAAUAAUAAUAAUAAUAAUAAUAAUAAUAAUAAUAAUAAUAAUAAUAAUAAUAAUAAUAAUAAUAAUAAUAAUAAUAAUAAUAAUAAUAAUAAUAAUAAUAAUAAUAAUAAUAAUAAUAAUAAUAAUAAUAAUAAUAAUAAUAAUAAUAAUAAUAAUAAUAAUAAUAAUAAUAAUAAUAAUAAUAAUAAUAAUAAUAAUAAUAAUAAUAAUAAUAAUAAUAAUAAUAAUAAUAAUAAUAAUAAUAAUAAUAAUAAUAAUAAUAAUAAUAAUAAUAAUAAUAAUAAUAAUAAUAAUAAUAAUAAUAAUAAUAAUAAUAAUAAUAAUAAUAAUAAUAAUAAUAAUAAUAAUAAUAAUAAUAAUAAUAAUAAUAAUAAUAAUAAUAAUAAUAAUAAUAAUAAUAAUAAUAAUAAUAAUAAUAAUAAUAAUAAUAAUAAUAAUAAUAAUAAUAAUAAUAAUAAUAAUAAUAAUAAUAAUAAUAAUAAUAAUAAUAAUAAUAAUAAUAAUAAUAAUAAUAAUAAUAAUAAUAAUAAUAAUAAUAAUAAUAAUAAUAAUAAUAAUAAUAAUAAUAAUAAUAAUAAUAAUAAUAAUAAUAAUAAUAAUAAUAAUAAUAAUAAUAAUAAUAAUAAUAAUAAUAAUAAUAAUAAUAAUAAUAAUAAUAAUAAUAAUAAUAAUAAUAAUAAUAAUAAUAAUAAUAAUAAUAAUAAUAAUAAUAAUAAUAAUAAUAAUAAUAAUAAUAAUAAUAAUAAUAAUAAUAAUAAUAAUAAUAAUAAUAAUAAUAAUAAUAAUAAUAAUAAUAAUAAUAAUAAUAAUAAUAAUAAUAAUAAUAAUAAUAAUAAUAAUAAUAAUAAUAAUAAUAAUAAUAAUAAUAAUAAUAAUAAUAAUAAUAAUAAUAAUAAUAAUAAUAAUAAUAAUAAUAAUAAUAAUAAUAAUAAUAAUAAUAAUAAUAAUAAUAAUAAUAAUAAUAAUAAUAAUAAUAAUAAUAAUAAUAAUAAUAAUAAUAAUAAUAAUAAUAAUAAUAAUAAUAAUAAUAAUAAUAAUAAUAAUAAUAAUAAUAAUAAUAAUAAUAAUAAUAAUAAUAAUAAUAAUAAUAAUAAUAAUAAUAAUAAUAAUAAUAAUAAUAAUAAUAAUAAUAAUAAUAAUAAUAAUAAUAAUAAUAAUAAUAAUAAUAAUAAUAAUAAUAAUAAUAAUAAUAAUAAUAAUAAUAAUAAUAAUAAUAAUAAUAAUAAUAAUAAUAAUAAUAAUAAUAAUAAUAAUAAUAAUAAUAAUAAUAAUAAUAAUAAUAAUAAUAAUAAUAAUAAUAAUAAUAAUAAUAAUAAUAAUAAUAAUAAUAAUAAUAAUAAUAAUAAUAAUAAUAAUAAUAAUAAUAAUAAUAAUAAUAAUAAUAAUAAUAAUAAUAAUAAUAAUAAUAAUAAUAAUAAUAAUAAUAAUAAUAAUAAUAAUAAUAAUAAUAAUAAUAAUAAUAAUAAUAAUAAUAAUAAUAAUAAUAAUAAUAAUAAUAAUAAUAAUAAUAAUAAUAAUAAUAAUAAUAAUAAUAAUAAUAAUAAUAAUAAUAAUAAUAAUAAUAAUAAUAAUAAUAAUAAUAAUAAUAAUAAUAAUAAUAAUAAUAAUAAUAAUAAUAAUAAUAAUAAUAAUAAUAAUAAUAAUAAUAAUAAUAAUAAUAAUAAUAAUAAUAAUAAUAAUAAUAAUAAUAAUAAUAAUAAUAAUAAUAAUAAUAAUAAUAAUAAUAAUAAUAAUAAUAAUAAUAAUAAUAAUAAUAAUAAUAAUAAUAAUAAUAAUAAUAAUAAUAAUAAUAAUAAUAAUAAUAAUAAUAAUAAUAAUAAUAAUAAUAAUAAUAAUAAUAAUAAUAAUAAUAAUAAUAAUAAUAAUAAUAAUAAUAAUAAUAAUAAUAAUAAUAAUAAUAAUAAUAAUAAUAAUAAUAAUAAUAAUAAUAAUAAUAAUAAUAAUAAUAAUAAUAAUAAUAAUAAUAAUAAUAAUAAUAAUAAUAAUAAUAAUAAUAAUAAUAAUAAUAAUAAUAAUAAUAAUAAUAAUAAUAAUAAUAAUAAUAAUAAUAAUAAUAAUAAUAAUAAUAAUAAUAAUAAUAAUAAUAAUAAUAAUAAUAAUAAUAAUAAUAAUAAUAAUAAUAAUAAUAAUAAUAAUAAUAAUAAUAAUAAUAAUAAUAAUAAUAAUAAUAAUAAUAAUAAUAAUAAUAAUAAUAAUAAUAAUAAUAAUAAUAAUAAUAAUAAUAAUAAUAAUAAUAAUAAUAAUAAUAAUAAUAAUAAUAAUAAUAAUAAUAAUAAUAAUAAUAAUAAUAAUAAUAAUAAUAAUAAUAAUAAUAAUAAUAAUAAUAAUAAUAAUAAUAAUAAUAAUAAUAAUAAUAAUAAUAAUAAUAAUAAUAAUAAUAAUAAUAAUAAUAAUAAUAAUAAUAAUAAUAAUAAUAAUAAUAAUAAUAAUAAUAAUAAUAAUAAUAAUAAUAAUAAUAAUAAUAAUAAUAAUAAUAAUAAUAAUAAUAAUAAUAAUAAUAAUAAUAAUAAUAAUAAUAAUAAUAAUAAUAAUAAUAAUAAUAAUAAUAAUAAUAAUAAUAAUAAUAAUAAUAAUAAUAAUAAUAAUAAUAAUAAUAAUAAUAAUAAUAAUAAUAAUAAUAAUAAUAAUAAUAAUAAUAAUAAUAAUAAUAAUAAUAAUAAUAAUAAUAAUAAUAAUAAUAAUAAUAAUAAUAAUAAUAAUAAUAAUAAUAAUAAUAAUAAUAAUAAUAAUAAUAAUAAUAAUAAUAAUAAUAAUAAUAAUAAUAAUAAUAAUAAUAAUAAUAAUAAUAAUAAUAAUAAUAAUAAUAAUAAUAAUAAUAAUAAUAAUAAUAAUAAUAAUAAUAAUAAUAAUAAUAAUAAUAAUAAUAAUAAUAAUAAUAAUAAUAAUAAUAAUAAUAAUAAUAAUAAUAAUAAUAAUAAUAAUAAUAAUAAUAAUAAUAAUAAUAAUAAUAAUAAUAAUAAUAAUAAUAAUAAUAAUAAUAAUAAUAAUAAUAAUAAUAAUAAUAAUAAUAAUAAUAAUAAUAAUAAUAAUAAUAAUAAUAAUAAUAAUAAUAAUAAUAAUAAUAAUAAUAAUAAUAAUAAUAAUAAUAAUAAUAAUAAUAAUAAUAAUAAUAAUAAUAAUAAUAAUAAUAAUAAUAAUAAUAAUAAUAAUAAUAAUAAUAAUAAUAAUAAUAAUAAUAAUAAUAAUAAUAAUAAUAAUAAUAAUAAUAAUAAUAAUAAUAAUAAUAAUAAUAAUAAUAAUAAUAAUAAUAAUAAUAAUAAUAAUAAUAAUAAUAAUAAUAAUAAUAAUAAUAAUAAUAAUAAUAAUAAUAAUAAUAAUAAUAAUAAUAAUAAUAAUAAUAAUAAUAAUAAUAAUAAUAAUAAUAAUAAUAAUAAUAAUAAUAAUAAUAAUAAUAAUAAUAAUAAUAAUAAUAAUAAUAAUAAUAAUAAUAAUAAUAAUAAUAAUAAUAAUAAUAAUAAUAAUAAUAAUAAUAAUAAUAAUAAUAAUAAUAAUAAUAAUAAUAAUAAUAAUAAUAAUAAUAAUAAUAAUAAUAAUAAUAAUAAUAAUAAUAAUAAUAAUAAUAAUAAUAAUAAUAAUAAUAAUAAUAAUAAUAAUAAUAAUAAUAAUAAUAAUAAUAAUAAUAAUAAUAAUAAUAAUAAUAAUAAUAAUAAUAAUAAUAAUAAUAAUAAUAAUAAUAAUAAUAAUAAUAAUAAUAAUAAUAAUAAUAAUAAUAAUAAUAAUAAUAAUAAUAAUAAUAAUAAUAAUAAUAAUAAUAAUAAUAAUAAUAAUAAUAAUAAUAAUAAUAAUAAUAAUAAUAAUAAUAAUAAUAAUAAUAAUAAUAAUAAUAAUAAUAAUAAUAAUAAUAAUAAUAAUAAUAAUAAUAAUAAUAAUAAUAAUAAUAAUAAUAAUAAUAAUAAUAAUAAUAAUAAUAAUAAUAAUAAUAAUAAUAAUAAUAAUAAUAAUAAUAAUAAUAAUAAUAAUAAUAAUAAUAAUAAUAAUAAUAAUAAUAAUAAUAAUAAUAAUAAUAAUAAUAAUAAUAAUAAUAAUAAUAAUAAUAAUAAUAAUAAUAAUAAUAAUAAUAAUAAUAAUAAUAAUAAUAAUAAUAAUAAUAAUAAUAAUAAUAAUAAUAAUAAUAAUAAUAAUAAUAAUAAUAAUAAUAAUAAUAAUAAUAAUAAUAAUAAUAAUAAUAAUAAUAAUAAUAAUAAUAAUAAUAAUAAUAAUAAUAAUAAUAAUAAUAAUAAUAAUAAUAAUAAUAAUAAUAAUAAUAAUAAUAAUAAUAAUAAUAAUAAUAAUAAUAAUAAUAAUAAUAAUAAUAAUAAUAAUAAUAAUAAUAAUAAUAAUAAUAAUAAUAAUAAUAAUAAUAAUAAUAAUAAUAAUAAUAAUAAUAAUAAUAAUAAUAAUAAUAAUAAUAAUAAUAAUAAUAAUAAUAAUAAUAAUAAUAAUAAUAAUAAUAAUAAUAAUAAUAAUAAUAAUAAUAAUAAUAAUAAUAAUAAUAAUAAUAAUAAUAAUAAUAAUAAUAAUAAUAAUAAUAAUAAUAAUAAUAAUAAUAAUAAUAAUAAUAAUAAUAAUAAUAAUAAUAAUAAUAAUAAUAAUAAUAAUAAUAAUAAUAAUAAUAAUAAUAAUAAUAAUAAUAAUAAUAAUAAUAAUAAUAAUAAUAAUAAUAAUAAUAAUAAUAAUAAUAAUAAUAAUAAUAAUAAUAAUAAUAAUAAUAAUAAUAAUAAUAAUAAUAAUAAUAAUAAUAAUAAUAAUAAUAAUAAUAAUAAUAAUAAUAAUAAUAAUAAUAAUAAUAAUAAUAAUAAUAAUAAUAAUAAUAAUAAUAAUAAUAAUAAUAAUAAUAAUAAUAAUAAUAAUAAUAAUAAUAAUAAUAAUAAUAAUAAUAAUAAUAAUAAUAAUAAUAAUAAUAAUAAUAAUAAUAAUAAUAAUAAUAAUAAUAAUAAUAAUAAUAAUAAUAAUAAUAAUAAUAAUAAUAAUAAUAAUAAUAAUAAUAAUAAUAAUAAUAAUAAUAAUAAUAAUAAUAAUAAUAAUAAUAAUAAUAAUAAUAAUAAUAAUAAUAAUAAUAAUAAUAAUAAUAAUAAUAAUAAUAAUAAUAAUAAUAAUAAUAAUAAUAAUAAUAAUAAUAAUAAUAAUAAUAAUAAUAAUAAUAAUAAUAAUAAUAAUAAUAAUAAUAAUAAUAAUAAUAAUAAUAAUAAUAAUAAUAAUAAUAAUAAUAAUAAUAAUAAUAAUAAUAAUAAUAAUAAUAAUAAUAAUAAUAAUAAUAAUAAUAAUAAUAAUAAUAAUAAUAAUAAUAAUAAUAAUAAUAAUAAUAAUAAUAAUAAUAAUAAUAAUAAUAAUAAUAAUAAUAAUAAUAAUAAUAAUAAUAAUAAUAAUAAUAAUAAUAAUAAUAAUAAUAAUAAUAAUAAUAAUAAUAAUAAUAAUAAUAAUAAUAAUAAUAAUAAUAAUAAUAAUAAUAAUAAUAAUAAUAAUAAUAAUAAUAAUAAUAAUAAUAAUAAUAAUAAUAAUAAUAAUAAUAAUAAUAAUAAUAAUAAUAAUAAUAAUAAUAAUAAUAAUAAUAAUAAUAAUAAUAAUAAUAAUAAUAAUAAUAAUAAUAAUAAUAAUAAUAAUAAUAAUAAUAAUAAUAAUAAUAAUAAUAAUAAUAAUAAUAAUAAUAAUAAUAAUAAUAAUAAUAAUAAUAAUAAUAAUAAUAAUAAUAAUAAUAAUAAUAAUAAUAAUAAUAAUAAUAAUAAUAAUAAUAAUAAUAAUAAUAAUAAUAAUAAUAAUAAUAAUAAUAAUAAUAAUAAUAAUAAUAAUAAUAAUAAUAAUAAUAAUAAUAAUAAUAAUAAUAAUAAUAAUAAUAAUAAUAAUAAUAAUAAUAAUAAUAAUAAUAAUAAUAAUAAUAAUAAUAAUAAUAAUAAUAAUAAUAAUAAUAAUAAUAAUAAUAAUAAUAAUAAUAAUAAUAAUAAUAAUAAUAAUAAUAAUAAUAAUAAUAAUAAUAAUAAUAAUAAUAAUAAUAAUAAUAAUAAUAAUAAUAAUAAUAAUAAUAAUAAUAAUAAUAAUAAUAAUAAUAAUAAUAAUAAUAAUAAUAAUAAUAAUAAUAAUAAUAAUAAUAAUAAUAAUAAUAAUAAUAAUAAUAAUAAUAAUAAUAAUAAUAAUAAUAAUAAUAAUAAUAAUAAUAAUAAUAAUAAUAAUAAUAAUAAUAAUAAUAAUAAUAAUAAUAAUAAUAAUAAUAAUAAUAAUAAUAAUAAUAAUAAUAAUAAUAAUAAUAAUAAUAAUAAUAAUAAUAAUAAUAAUAAUAAUAAUAAUAAUAAUAAUAAUAAUAAUAAUAAUAAUAAUAAUAAUAAUAAUAAUAAUAAUAAUAAUAAUAAUAAUAAUAAUAAUAAUAAUAAUAAUAAUAAUAAUAAUAAUAAUAAUAAUAAUAAUAAUAAUAAUAAUAAUAAUAAUAAUAAUAAUAAUAAUAAUAAUAAUAAUAAUAAUAAUAAUAAUAAUAAUAAUAAUAAUAAUAAUAAUAAUAAUAAUAAUAAUAAUAAUAAUAAUAAUAAUAAUAAUAAUAAUAAUAAUAAUAAUAAUAAUAAUAAUAAUAAUAAUAAUAAUAAUAAUAAUAAUAAUAAUAAUAAUAAUAAUAAUAAUAAUAAUAAUAAUAAUAAUAAUAAUAAUAAUAAUAAUAAUAAUAAUAAUAAUAAUAAUAAUAAUAAUAAUAAUAAUAAUAAUAAUAAUAAUAAUAAUAAUAAUAAUAAUAAUAAUAAUAAUAAUAAUAAUAAUAAUAAUAAUAAUAAUAAUAAUAAUAAUAAUAAUAAUAAUAAUAAUAAUAAUAAUAAUAAUAAUAAUAAUAAUAAUAAUAAUAAUAAUAAUAAUAAUAAUAAUAAUAAUAAUAAUAAUAAUAAUAAUAAUAAUAAUAAUAAUAAUAAUAAUAAUAAUAAUAAUAAUAAUAAUAAUAAUAAUAAUAAUAAUAAUAAUAAUAAUAAUAAUAAUAAUAAUAAUAAUAAUAAUAAUAAUAAUAAUAAUAAUAAUAAUAAUAAUAAUAAUAAUAAUAAUAAUAAUAAUAAUAAUAAUAAUAAUAAUAAUAAUAAUAAUAAUAAUAAUAAUAAUAAUAAUAAUAAUAAUAAUAAUAAUAAUAAUAAUAAUAAUAAUAAUAAUAAUAAUAAUAAUAAUAAUAAUAAUAAUAAUAAUAAUAAUAAUAAUAAUAAUAAUAAUAAUAAUAAUAAUAAUAAUAAUAAUAAUAAUAAUAAUAAUAAUAAUAAUAAUAAUAAUAAUAAUAAUAAUAAUAAUAAUAAUAAUAAUAAUAAUAAUAAUAAUAAUAAUAAUAAUAAUAAUAAUAAUAAUAAUAAUAAUAAUAAUAAUAAUAAUAAUAAUAAUAAUAAUAAUAAUAAUAAUAAUAAUAAUAAUAAUAAUAAUAAUAAUAAUAAUAAUAAUAAUAAUAAUAAUAAUAAUAAUAAUAAUAAUAAUAAUAAUAAUAAUAAUAAUAAUAAUAAUAAUAAUAAUAAUAAUAAUAAUAAUAAUAAUAAUAAUAAUAAUAAUAAUAAUAAUAAUAAUAAUAAUAAUAAUAAUAAUAAUAAUAAUAAUAAUAAUAAUAAUAAUAAUAAUAAUAAUAAUAAUAAUAAUAAUAAUAAUAAUAAUAAUAAUAAUAAUAAUAAUAAUAAUAAUAAUAAUAAUAAUAAUAAUAAUAAUAAUAAUAAUAAUAAUAAUAAUAAUAAUAAUAAUAAUAAUAAUAAUAAUAAUAAUAAUAAUAAUAAUAAUAAUAAUAAUAAUAAUAAUAAUAAUAAUAAUAAUAAUAAUAAUAAUAAUAAUAAUAAUAAUAAUAAUAAUAAUAAUAAUAAUAAUAAUAAUAAUAAUAAUAAUAAUAAUAAUAAUAAUAAUAAUAAUAAUAAUAAUAAUAAUAAUAAUAAUAAUAAUAAUAAUAAUAAUAAUAAUAAUAAUAAUAAUAAUAAUAAUAAUAAUAAUAAUAAUAAUAAUAAUAAUAAUAAUAAUAAUAAUAAUAAUAAUAAUAAUAAUAAUAAUAAUAAUAAUAAUAAUAAUAAUAAUAAUAAUAAUAAUAAUAAUAAUAAUAAUAAUAAUAAUAAUAAUAAUAAUAAUAAUAAUAAUAAUAAUAAUAAUAAUAAUAAUAAUAAUAAUAAUAAUAAUAAUAAUAAUAAUAAUAAUAAUAAUAAUAAUAAUAAUAAUAAUAAUAAUAAUAAUAAUAAUAAUAAUAAUAAUAAUAAUAAUAAUAAUAAUAAUAAUAAUAAUAAUAAUAAUAAUAAUAAUAAUAAUAAUAAUAAUAAUAAUAAUAAUAAUAAUAAUAAUAAUAAUAAUAAUAAUAAUAAUAAUAAUAAUAAUAAUAAUAAUAAUAAUAAUAAUAAUAAUAAUAAUAAUAAUAAUAAUAAUAAUAAUAAUAAUAAUAAUAAUAAUAAUAAUAAUAAUAGAGAAGAGAAAAAUUAGAUCUAGGGUUUCUUUCUUUUUCUCCAAUCCAAAAAUCCCCCCUUUUCACAAUAGAUUCCUCCCUUAAAUACUCUCUCUCUCUUCUCCUCUAGAAUUCUAUUUAAAAUAAAAUACUAACAUCUGAAAUAUUAAAUUCGUAAUUACAAAAAUAACCAAAAAUACAAAACACGUUAAACUAAAAACUGCAGGUCCGCAGUUGACAGCACGCGCCCACGCCUUAUCAACAAAGUUCUUCUGACGCUCAUAAUUUCUCCAAGAGAACAAUCAUCCUUAAACAUCAUCUUAUAGCUCAAUUUUAUCAUCAAUCAAUAGAAUUGCACCUACAAAAGUAAAACAUAAGUAAAUCACUAUUAUUAAGUGCAAAACAUUGAUAUUAAGGGAAGUAAAUAAUGCAAAACUAGUGCAUAAAUUGCACUCUAACAGUAAUCAGUAAUCAGCAUUAAAAAUUAAAUUAAAUUAAAUUUUUUUGUUUUUAAUAUUAUUUAGUUAUAGACUUAUUAUUAUAUUUAUUCGUUCAUAAAACUAAAUAAUGUUAAAUCAAAUAAAAUAAUCAGGAAUGGUUCUUAAAAAAUUAAUAUUAUUUAUUUUAUUUUAUUUAAUAUUAUUUAGUCAUAGCCUAUUAUUCUGUUUAUUUUUUGAAAAUUAAAUAAUAUUAAAUAAAAUAGAAUAGAAAAUGUGAGUCCUUAAAAAUAAAAAUUAUUUUUAAUAUUAUUUAUUUUAUUUAAAAGAAUAAAUUUUUUAAUAUUUUUAUUUUAUUAAAAAAUAUUAUUUAAUAUUAUCUAGUCAUAGGCUUAUUAUUAUAUUUCUUCUUUUAGAAAGUUAAAUAGUAUUAAAUGAAAUAAAAUUACAUUUUAGAAGGUCAUUAGCCAAAGCACAUAAACUUAUAAACAAAUGGAAAUAAAAAAGGUAAAUAAUAUUCAAUAAAAUAAAAUUACAUUUUAAAAGGUCACCAACCAAAGCACAUAAUAUUAUAACAAAAAUGUAAAUAAAAAAGAAAGUAAGAGAUUCAAUGAAAUUUAACAUCACAAAAGACAAUUUCAAAAAUUGGGGGUAGCUUGCAACUGUUGCAAAGUGGCUGGUUCCAUAAUUUUGAGAUAAUGUUUCGGUUUCAAAUAUUGUUAUCGAUACCUAAUUAUAAGUAAUAAAAAAAUAUUGUAUAAUUUUUUUACCAACAUUUACAAUACAUUUUAUUUUGAUUUCUGAAAAAAAUAGAUAAAACACAAAUUAAUUAUUUUAACCCUCUAUUCUCUCAAUAUUUAAACUCGAAUAAUCAGUUAAAAGUUGCUCGAGAAUGUUUAAAAGCCAUUUAAGUAUACCACGUCAUUCAUGUUUUGCAAUCAUUCAAUUGUUAAUAAGUUUCCCAUGUGCUGAAAAUAAAUAAAAAUGCACGUGCAUAUGUCAUAUUGUCUCCGAAACCUCACAGCGGAAUGAGUGUAGUACUUGCAAUGCAUGUACUUUAGACUUUGUAUUUCUCUUAUUUAAAUGAUCAAUAAUUUUUCUUUGUCCUUUAAUUAGACGUCAACAGUCGAAGUUGUGGGCAGGUAGUAGGCUAUAUAUAAUAAUUUCCUGGAGAUCUUCCGUCUUCUAAGACAUUGCAAAUGCCAAACGUGAUAACUAUUUUGAUAAUUCAAAUACUACAUAAAAUAUAUGAAGUGUCAGACAAGUCAAAAGAAUUGAUUCUUCACAAUUGUAUAUACGUAUACACACACUUUGCCCAAAUCCCAUUGUAUCCAGGCUGUAAUUUUUAUAUUAAACGAACAUAUUUUAUUUUAUGUCAGCAAUAUUGAUGCAGGCUGGGGGAACAACAGCUUCAGGAUGGUCAACUACCCUUCGGAUCAUUGCAAGUGGGAUGGCAUCACUUGCAAUUCAGAUGGAAGCAUAAUCAGGCUAAAAUUAUCAUGGUGUGAUGUUGACUUCAAAAGGUAAUCUUCGUAAAAUUAUCAUGGUAUAAUAUACGUAUUUAUUUUCGCAUACAUAAAUAAAUAACAAAAUUGUAAUUAAUUGGAUACAGCUUCAGCUUUUGGACUGGUUUGUGAAAAUCAGAAAAAUUUAAAAAUGCUCCUCUUGAACAAUCAAAAUCUACUUUAUACGUGAACAAAGGGGAUGAUUCGUAAAGAUAGUUCAUCAAUGUUUGAUUGCUUUCAAGCGUGUCGAUUACUUUCAGAAAGAAAGACUUCAUUUGAUCUCGUCACAAAACAUAAUUUCACUUUGAAUUUGAAAAAGAAUAAUGAAGUUCAUACAAGUGCUGUUAUGACCUUUUUUUUUUUGUUUUCUUUUUUUCUCGACGUUGUUUUGUGAAUCAUAAGGGUUAAUUUAAUACGGUGGGUUCGCUUGUAUGAAGCGCACUUAUUGUACCAUUCUGUUGCAAGCAAUGAAAAAACGCUAUAAUUUUUUUAAGUUUCUACAAGUAUUAUGUUAUCUUAUAUCUAAAUGUGCAUCUCUAGUCUUUGCUCUCAGUUCAGGUUCUCUAAAAGUAUAUUAAUUAUGAAAAGCAUUAAAGGUUCCGAAACUCUAUUUUGCGGGGAAAAAGAACCUCCAUUUUUGGUUUUUUAUUAUAUGAGAUUUUACUAUGCUCGUAAUAACUUAAUCGAAAUUAAACAUAUCACUGGUCUACAUUUUUUUAUAAGAUUUUGUGACUUGCUAAUUAAGAUGAGUAUCACCAUCAAAUCAACAAGCUUAUACCUUCAAAGAAAAAUAGACUAUAAGUCGGGAGAAAGAAGAAAAAAAAAAAAAAAAGAAUCUUCGCAAUUUAUGCUGUUGGUUGUGAGUUCAUGAAACAAAUAAAAAUAUGAAAUCAAACAUUUAUUCAAAAUUUAAAAUUAAAAAAAAAACUCUAUAUCUACAGUAAUCUGUUCAAACCACAUAGGUGGAGCAAUAUAGUUCCAAGACGUGGUUUUAAAACAUGUCUUUGUGAUAAACAAUAUCGUGAUACUUGCGCCAAUUCCCAUGGCAAUAAUUGCCUACAUUUAUCCAAGAUCCAUGGCCAGGUUUAGAAUGUGCUAGUCUUCUUUCACUUUCAUAAAUAACCACUACUAGGUAAUCAGAGUGUCGGUCUAAAUUUUUCGGAGAUACAACGUCAAUGUAUGUGCCCGGAGUUGAAGCUGAACGCGCUUAAAUAUGUUCGGAAUUUGAAGUUGAACGCCUGGAAAAGGAUGCAGACUGAAGAAAGGCAAUUCCUGGAAUUUGUCUUUGGUAAGAAAACAUGGCUGCUUAUGCCCUUUGAAAGACUGAAGAAACCAAAUUGAUUAUUGCUGCAAUUUAGUGGCACAUGUACGAGGAGAGGCAUCCAAUUAAACUUGUUCAUAAAAGUAUUGCUGAUAGUUGCAGCCGAUCUCCAGACAAAAUCUUCGUACAAUUUUAUCCGCCAGCAAUUUCGACCAAGAGACCUUGAUGCAGUUCAGACCAAUUCGCCAGUUGAACAUCAAGUUGCCUAGGCAUUGAGAAUUAGGUCAAUAAAAUAUAUCCUGGGUCACUUACAAAAGAUGAAAUAAGUGAAAAAGGAAAGAUGACGUAAUAAUUUCUUAGUGAGAAAAGUUAGUUAAUUUGCAAAGGUCUUAGAUAAUCAAUUUGAUGUAAAAAUAUCAAAAUUUUUUUUAAUCAGUGAAAUAUUCAACCUCUAGUUUCAGCACUACAAAUGAAUUAAAUAGAAUAAUGAUAGAUAUUUUAAAAUUUUAUCCCAAAUGAUGUGAUAUGUAAUGUAUCAUUCAUUAAGUAGUUGAUGAUUUUUUUAUAAAUUUUAAGUGGAUUAAUUAUAUUAUUUUACCAACGAGUAAAUAAAUGUCACAUCAUUAGAGAAGAAAUUUUAAGGUAAAACUUUUCAAAUAUAUAUCACUACUCCAUUAAAUAUGGUAUAAAAAAUCUAAUAGGGACCAAAAAUAUAAAAACCCAUUAAAAAUAAAAAAUAUAAAAGUCAAUUCCUAAUUAGAAGAAUGAAAGUUUGUUUCUCCUACAAUCAUUUCACUAGAUUUUAAAUAAAUUAAUUAAUGAAAAUUUUUAAUAACAAAUCGGUGCCUAAACCUAACGUCUUUUUUUUUUUGGUCUUAUCCACGAGGUAUCCUGGGGAGGGCCCCAACUGUGGGAGGCACCUUUAAGCCCGUACCACAACCCAGACUAGAAGUCCCCGCUCGAACCGGGAGGCACAGGUUCUCCCAACAAAGGCGACUUCCCCGCGACUCGAACUGGGGAGCAAACCCAGUCAAGCCACUUAAGGGGACUCCAUUGCCAGUGGAGCCAACACUUUGUUGGUUAAACCUAACGUCUUUGACAGUGCUGCCAAUAUCACUCACAACUUACAAGAAAAUUUUGGUAUUAAAUUUAUUAAUGUUCUCAAGGAAUUUUUAGUUUGACUUUGCAUUCUCAGACCCAUUUGUCACAUAACACGUUAGCAAAGACCUUUAAUGAGAAUAUUAAAACAGCUGUCGAAUAAGCAUCUUGACGACGACUUUUUGACAUAUAUGCAUGCCUCCUUUUGUGAACAAAUUUGAAACAUAAAAGAAAAUUUUGAUCCAUGUGAGAGCUGGAGUAUUUUAUAGCUUUUGACCUCAUUAAUUAUGAGUAAGGGAAUAUUUCUACGUCACUAACGAUUAACAUGAUCACUAUAUAAAGGGAAGCAAAGUAUGUUUAGCAUCAAGUCAGAAAACACAAUUUUUAGGAAAUGGGAACUCUAGGACAGGCGAAGCAAUGGCCUCAAUUGGUUUGUGCUAUGGCAUUUUUGCUCAUAGCCACCACAACCGCAAAGGCAUCAGCUGAUGAUUAUGGCCCAGCACCAUCACCAAAGCAUGCAAAGCACCCUCCAAGCCAUUACAAGCCACCGAAACCACCAAAGCACCACGAGUCACCACCACCAUACUACUAUAACUCACCACCUCCACCAGUACAUUCUCCUCCACCACCUUAUUACUAUAAGUCUCCACCACCACCUUCUCUAUCUCCACCACCUCCUUACUAUUAUAAAUCACCACCACCACCGAAACAUUCUCCUCCACCUCCUUACUACUACAAAUCACCACCUCCUCCUUCUCCCUCUCCACCUCCACCAUAUUAUUACAAGUCUCCCCCACCACCAUCUCCAUCUCCCCCACCGCCUUACUACUAUAAAUCCCCACCACCACCAAAAUAUUCUCCUCCACCACCUUACUACUAUAAGUCACCACCUCCACCAGUGAAAUCUCCACCUCCGCCAUAUUACUAUAAAUCACCACCACCACCAAAACAUUCUCCCCCACCACCUUACUACUACAAGUCACCACCACCACCAAUGCAUUCUCCCCCACCACCUUACUAUUACAAAUCUCCACCACCACCAAAGCAUUCUCCUCCACCACCACCUUAUUACAAAUCACCACCCCCACCACCACCAAAACAUUCUCCCCCACCACCUUACUACUAUAAAUCUCCACCGCCACCAAAACAUUCUCCUCCUCCACCAUACUACUAUAAGUCACCACCUCCACCUGUAAAGUCUCCACCUCCACCACCUCACUACAAAUCACCACCACCACCAAAACAGUCUCCUCCACCACCUUAUUACUACAAGUCACCACCCCCACCAGUAAAGUCUCCACCACAGCCACCAAAGCAUUCUCCCCCGCCACCUUACUAUUACAAAUCACCACCUCCACCAAUGAAGUCUCCACCACCGCCACCUUACUAUAAAUCACCACCACCACCAAAUUCUCCCCCUCCACCUUACUAUUACAAAUCACCACCACCACCAAAGCAUUCCCCCCCGCCACCUUAUUACUAUAGAUCUCCACCACCACCAAAGUAUUCUCCCCCACCACCUUACUACUAUAAGUCACCACCUCCACCAAAGCAUUCUCCCCCGCCUCCUUACUAUUACAAAUCUCCACCACCACCUUACUAAUACAAAUCUCCACCACCACCAUCUCUAUCCCCACCUCCAUCUUCCAUUUACACCGCCACCAUCUACAUCACCUCCACCACCAUCUCCAUCAUUGUCACUAUUGCCUUCCGACUACUCCAUGUGAUCACCACCUCCCGAAGACUUCUAAGUUCAAUGUCCCUUCUUGAAACAAGUUUAAAAUUCAAUAAGAAAAAAUGUGUUCCUUCGGUUGCCCUUUUUAUGAUUUUUUAUGUUAAUGUUUUUAUGAAUAAUUUGUAAGAAGCGUUGGGUGUAUCAUUUGUCAUGUGCAAUAAAAAUUUCUAACUUGAUGUAUCCUAAAAAAAAAGUAUUGUGCCAAAAGAAUUAUUCUAUUGUUUUAUCACAAAUGUGUUGUGGCACAUGUAAUGCGCCUGGAUGAAGUAAUAUUAUGUCUUAAUGAAUAAUCAUGCACAACAGUGAUCAUGUACAUAGUUCUUCCAAUGUCAUGAUAAUGUCCAUGCACGUAAUAAAUAACUUCUUCCUUAUAAUAUCAAAGAAAAUGAAGAUACAAACCUUUUAUUCUCUAAUCAUUUAGUCAAACAAAAUUGUUUUAAUUUAGGUUUUGAUCAAUCUUAAUGCUAAUAAAUUCUAACUACAAAUCAAAUACAAUAUCAGCAAAAAUCAUAUUUUAAAUGAAUCAAAAAACAAACACUAGACUUAACCAAGCAGUUAACCUUUAUUAUUCUCCUCAGCAAAGGAUACAAAGAUGUAGGUAGAUUACAAGUUAUCACUGAAAAAAUAGAAAUCAUCUAAAAUGGUGAACAAAUGAGCUCUAAAUAUGUUGCACUCAUUUGUUCAACUAAGCAAUAGAAUUACCCUUUUCCAUUUUAACUGCUUGUCUGCUUUAGCAUGGCAACUUUAAAUAACACCCUUCAACUUGAAAAUUUUGAAUAACCAGAGCGAUCAAUAAUUGUAAAUCUUGAAAAAAAAAAUUUAGUUUAAUUAAAGCCAUAAACAUAAUAUUAAAUAAAAUGAAAAAAAGGUAGUAAACGUAGUGUUGAACUACUUUAUACUUGUGAACUAACUUUUGAUGUUGAUUAAGAUCAUGGACCCUCAACUUUUGUAUUAUGAAUAUGCUCAUGUCCUAUCUUAGGUCUCCUCUAUAAACCACCUUUUUUUAAAAAAUUAUAUUCAUUAUGAUACUAAGGUACAAGCAGAAGUAAGAUUCCUUUAAUAUUUUUGUAACCAGGAUGUGGCAACCUAGGUGAUACGUGAAUUGGUUUUUUGCACAUUUUGCUAUAUUUUUUUGUGUGUAUGCUUGCUGUUUUUCUCUUUGUUCCAACAAUUUCCACAUGAGGAUAAUCUCAUUUUAACAAAGAAAGAUACCACUAAAUUACUACAAAACAUGAAUUCUAAUAUACUAGAAACUAUUCUUUUUUUUUUUUGCCUUUUCAUAUAUUAGAGUUAUGUUUUUAUCAUCUUAGUGGCAUAUAUGCAUUUUAACUAAAUGAGAAUAUUCUCAUUUCAGAAUUAUUAAUAAGAGAGUAGUAGACAAAUGAUACAAAACUAUGCUGCUUUACUAUUAACAACACAUUCAAUGGAGUAAUGAUAGAGAGUAAAUUCUAACACCACAUGAAAACAAACAAAAGUUGAAAUAUUUUAGCUAAUACGUUUAAAGUUUGAAUUAGUAAUAAAAUUGUCUCAGAAAACUGCCUUAAUGGAAUUAAUGUGAGAUUUAUUGGUCGGUUGUAUCAAUAUCAUUUUCCGGAAAAAAAAAAUUUAGUCAAAAUAUGAAAGGUUUGUUCUGCAAGUGGUUGAUAUUGCUGUACAUUAAUAUCAAAGAUACAUUAAGUUCGUACCAAAUUUUAUUAUAAAAUUCAUAAAUGUAUAAGUAGAAGAUUUUAUAAAUUAAUUCCAGGUAAAACGUCGGUGAUGUGAAUAAAUGGUGAAGAGAAAGCUCUAAUAAUUAUAGUAAUAACAGUGAGAAGCUAGCUCAUCAUCGAGUUGUAAGAUAUAUUUUUGAAUUUUCUUGAACACGCUUUGACGUACGAUUAGCAAAAAAGUCUGUCUAUGAGCAAUCGGUCGUACACAGCUUAACUAAACCAUUGACAUUGUAAUUAAUUGAUGAGCUUUUUCUAAUUUCUAUGAAUCAAAUGCAGAUAUUUAGUGGGCAACUACCAACCCUUGCUUGGCAAAAUAUAGGAAAGAAAAACGUGAAAUUUAUAAAUGUUACAUUUUUUUAGAUGAAUAAUUUUGAGAUAAUGUUUCAGUUUCCGAUAUUGUUAUCUAUACCUAAUUAUAGAUAAUAAAGAAAUAUUUUCUAAUUUUUUUUAUCAACAUUUACAAUACAUUUUAUUUUUAUUUCUAAAAAAAUAGAUAAAGCACAAAUUAAUUAUUUUAACCCUCUAUCUUCACAAUAUUUAAACUCGAAUAAUCAGUUAAAGUUGUUCGAGAAUGUUUAAAUGCCAUUUAAGUAUACCACGUCAUUCAUAUUUUGCAAUCAUCCAAUUGUGAGGAUUCCCAUGUACUGAAAAUAAAUAGAAAUACACAUGCAUAUGUCAUAUUGUCUCUGAACCGCAGAAUGAUUGUAGUACUUGCAAUGCGUGUAUUUUAGACUUUGUCUUUCUCUGAUUUAAAUGAUCUAUAAUUUUCCUUUGUCCUUUAAUUAGAAGUCAGCAGUCAAAGUUGUGGGCAAGUAGGAUAUAUAUAGUAAUUUCCUUGAGAUCUUCUGUCUUCUAAGACAUUGUAAACACCAAACGUGAUCACUAUUUUGAUCAUUCAAAUACUACAUAAAAUAUAUGAAAUGUGAGACAAGUCAAAAGAAUUGAUUCUUCACAAUUGUAUAUAGUAUUAUUUGAUUCUGCCUCCCACCUAUACACACACACACACACACACACACACACACACAUAUACCCUGAGCAGGAUUUACAUUUUGUCUUUACAUUUUCCACAACGCCUUUAAUUUUUACAGUGAUUAAAAAAGGCCAAAAUAUUGAUGUAUUACCUCCAACUACUAUUUAGACUUUGUUCAAAUCCCAUUGUAUCCAGGCUGUAAUUUUUAUAUUAAACAAACAUAUUUUAUUUUAUGUCAGCAAUAUUGAUGACAAGAUCACUAUAUAAAGAGUAGCAACUAGGUUGUUUAUACAAGUCACAAAACAUAAUUUCACUUUGAAUUUUAAAAAGAUUAAUGAAGUUCAUACAAAUGCUAUUAUGGAUUUUUUUUUCUUUGGACGUUGUUUUGUGAAUCAUAAGGGUUAAUUUAAUAAGGUGGGUUCACUUGUAUAAAGCGCACUCAUUUUACCAUACUGUUGCAAGCAAUGAAAAAACGCUAUAAUCUUUUUAAGUUUCUACAAGUAUUAUGUUAUCAUAUAUCCAAAUGUGCAUCUGUAUUCUUUGCUCUCAGUUCCGGUUCUCUAGAAGUAUGUUAAUUAUGAAAAGCAUUAAAGGUUCCAAAACUCUAUUUUGCGGGGAAAAAGAACCUCCAUUUUUGGUUUUUUAUUAUAUGAGGUUUUACCGCGCUCGUAAUAACUUAAUCGAAAUUAAACUUAUCACUGGUCUAUAUUUUUUAUCAGAUUUUGUGACUAACUAAGAUGAGUAUCACCAGCAAAUCAACAAAGCUAAUACCUUUGUCUACUCGUUCAAAGGAAAAUAGAGUACAAGCCGGGAGAGGGGGAAAAAUGCUUAGCAAUUUAUACUGUUGGUUGCGAUAUCAUGCAACAAAUAAAUAUAUGAAAUCAAACAUACAUCCAAAAUUUAAAGUAAAAAAAAAAAAUCUAAAUCUUGAGUAAUCUAGCUGAAAUUCUGUUCAACCCACAUAGGUGGAGCAAUAUAGUUCCAAGACUUGGUUUUAAAACAUGUCUUUGUAAUAAACAACAUCAUGAUGCUUGCGCCAAUUCCCAUUCCGAUAAUUGCCUAUAUUGAUCCAAGAUCCAUGGCCAGGUUUAGAAUGUGCUAGUAUUCUUUCUCUUCCAUAAAUAACCAUUACUAUGUAAUCGGAGUGCGGUCUAAAUUUUUCGGGGAUAAAACGUCAAUGUAUGUGCCGGAAGUUGAAGCUGAAUGCACUUAAAUAUGUUCGGAAUUUGAAGUUGAACGCCUGAAAAAGGGUGCAGACUGAAGAAAGGCAAUUCCUGGAAUUUUUUUUGGUAAGAAAACAUGACUGCUUAUGUCCUUUGAAAGACUGAAGAAACCAAAUUGAUUAUUGCUGCAAUUUAGUGGCACGUGUACAAGGAGAGGCAUCCGAUUAAACUUGUUCAUAAAAUUAUUGCUGAUAGUUGCAGCCGAUCUCCAUGAAGUACAAACCCAACGCAAAGAAACAAAGUGUUCGUACAAUUUUAUCCGCCAGCAAUUUCGACCAAGAGACCUUGAUGCAGUUCAGACCAAUCACCACUUGAGCAUUUGUUAGGAAAUUGGUGGAUGAAGCAGACACGCAUCUAAAAUAAAAUUGGAAGAAAAAUAAAGAACAAGCACAAAAAGGACACCAAGAAAUUACGUGGUUCGACUUUUAGCCUACGUCCACAGACGAAUACAGAAGGAAAAUAUUUUACUAGUGAAAAGAAGUUACAAGUAUUGUGAUAUUUUAACUCACUACCCAAAAUCUCAAUACACCCAAACUCUCAAAACACUAAUCACUCAAGAGUUUAUUAAACUCUUAAUACUCUCAAUUUCCUAUAGGAAGGAAAUGCUUCUCUCUCGAUGGAAUGCUUCAGCUCUUCAUCUGCACUUCUAUUUAUAGAAAAAUAAUGGCCAAGAAAUCAACGAUUUUAGCCCAACAAUUAUGGCUUCAAUUUCGUCAAUCUGUGUGGCUUCAAUUUUGUCAAUCUAGCGUUCAAAAUUUGUGGGUUGUGUUCUCCAUUUUCUUUGAUUUGCUGGCACCAAAGUCAAGUACCAAAUUUGGUGCUGACUUUUAGGUGUUUGCUUUGACAUUCUCCCACUUGGAGAUUAAAUUGAAAAUUAAUCAAUCUCCACACCAUCCUUUCUAUUUCGUCAUAAUCAUGUUGCCUACAUUUCUGCUAGGCCAUAAGAGGAUCUACUUCAGACAAACUUGUCAAUAUUUAUUGGCUUGGUCAAAACAUCUGCUAGGUCUUCCACUACUUCUCGAAUGAAGUGAUACUGACUUCCUAUAUGCUUUGUCCUGGAAUGAAAUACUGAAUUUCUUGCAAUAUGCAAGGCACUCUAACUGUCACAAUACACAUAAAAUUUCUCUUGUUUGUACCCGAGCUUCUCCAAUAACCUUUGUAUCCAGAUAGCUUCCUUGUAAGCUUGUGUAGCUGCCAUGUAUUCUGCUUCUGUUGUAGAUAAAGCCACAACGAUCUGCAGUUUCGAAACCCAGCAUACAACUCCUCCUGCAAGUGUAAACACAUAACCAGUAGUUGAUUUUCUUUUAUCAAUGUCUCCUACAAAAUCUAAAUCCACGUAGCCCCUAAUAGUAAAUUCUUAUCCUCCAUAACAUAAUAUAACAUCUGAGGUUCCUCUGAUAUAUCUCAGAAUCCUCUUUACAGCUAUUCAAUGCUCUCCACCACGAUUCGCCAUGUAUCGACUGACUGCUCCCACUGCUUGUGCAAUGUCUAGUCUAGUACAUAUCAUAGCGAAUAUCAAACUUCCCACUGUUGAUGCAUACGGUACUCGAGACAUCUCCUUCCUCUCUGCUUCAUUGUUAGGACACAUACUUGAGGAUAAUUUGAAAUUAACAGGAAGUGGGGUAGAAAUUGGCUUACGAUACUGCAUGUUGAAGCGUCACAAGAUUUUCUUCAAGUAGUUCUUCUGAGAAAGCCAAAUCUUCAUGUUAUUUCUGUCUCGGUGAAUUUACAUCCCUAGAAUCUUGUUUGCUGAUCCCAAGUCCUUCAUUUCAAACUCUCUAGCUAAUUGUGCCUUCAAUUCUUGGAUUCGAUCUUUGUUAAGGCCUGCUACCAACAUGUCAUCCACAUACAAUAGCAAAAUAAUGAAAUCAUUAUCUUCAAACCUUUUGUAAUAUUCACAAUUGUUUGAACUGAGUCUGUUGUAUCCAAGGCUCAUGAUAAAGGAAUCAAGUCUCUUAUACCAACAUCUCGGCGCCUGUUUGAGAUCGUAUAGAGAUUUGUUCAACCUGCAAACCAAAUUUUCCUUUCCUAUUUCUGCAAAACCUUCUUAUUGGAGCAUAUAUAUUUCUUCUUCAAGUUCUCUAUGAAGAAAUAUAAUUUUCACAUCCAACUGCUCAAGAUAUAAGUCAAAUGUAGCACACAUCGCUAAGACUACUCUGACUGUUGUGAGUCGAACUACCAGAGAAAAUAUCUCGUUGAAGUCAAUACUUUCUUUUUGAACAUAUCCUUUCACCACCAAUCUUGCACGAUACCGUUCCACUUGGUCAUUGCCAUCACGUUUGAUCUUAUAGACUCAUUUGUUUCCAAUAAUAUUUCUUCUACGUGGUAGUGGUACAAGUUCCCAUGUCUUGUUCUUGUGUAGAACCUCAAUUUCUUCCUGCAUUGCUGUCAUCCACAAAGUAACAUCUGAGCUGUUUAAAGUUUCAUGGAAAUUUGAAGACUCUCCAUCCUCUAUUAGAAGACAGUAAGCAAUAUUGAUCUCUGUGACAUACUCCGAGUGCCACACUAGCGGUUGUCUCUCACGAGUUGACUGACGAACUUCUGGAGCCUCGGACUCGACUGGUUCUUGUUCCUCGUGCUCUGGUGCUGCUUUAGAAGAAUCUGAAUCUUCUGGAUUAUUUUCCACGUAUACCUGCACAAUCUCUAACUUUUCUUUUACAGUGCCAUCAUCUCAAUCUUUCCUUUGCAGAUGAUCUUCUACAAAAAUAACAUCUCUGCUAAUGACGAUCUUGUGGGCAGUGGGGUCCCACAGACGAUACCUCUUUACUCCAUCAGCAUAUCUCAAUAAGAUACAUCUUCUAGAUUUUGGAUCUAGCUUUAUUCUUUCUUGGGCAUUGUAUAUCACGUACACGAGACAUCCAAAUGCAUGUAGGUAUGAGUAAUCAGCUGGCUUUCCAGUCCACAUCUUCAUCGUUGUCUUCAGCCCAAUUGCUAUAGAUGGUGACCGAUUUACUAUAUAACAGACAGUUUUGGCUGCUUUUGCCCAGAAUGAAUUAGGUAAACCAGCAGUCCUUAACAUAUCUCUUAUUCUUUCUGUAAGAGUUCUGUUUAUCCACUCUGCCACUCUGUUUUGUUGAGGAGUGUAUGCUAUCAUGAACCGCCUCUGAAUACCUUCUUGCUUACAGAAAGCAAGAAACUCGUCGUUUGUAUACCCUCCACCAUUAUCUGUCCUCAAGCACUUGAUCUUUUUACCAGAUUUAAGUUCCACCCGCGCUUUGUAUUCUUUAAACACUAGAAAAACAUCUGACUUUUUCUUAAUUAGAUACACCAACAUUUCCUAGAAUAAUCAUCAAUGAAAGUCACCAGUACUUUGCACCUCCUAUGGACAUAUCCGGUGAUUCCCAAACAUCAAAAUGAAUCAAGUCUAAAAUGCAGUUACUUCUAGCAACAGAUCUACAGAACUUUAAUCUAUACUGUUUACUUAUAACACAAUGCUCGCAAAAUGGUAAACUUACCGAUUUGAGCCAUGGAAGCAAUUUUCGCUCAGAGAGAAUCUUCAAACUUUGUUCCAACAUGUGGCCAAGUUUGAGGUGUCACAUCAUCGUUGAUUCUUCUCCAUUUGACGCGACACACACAUCAGCCUCCUAUAGUGUUUCUCCUUUAAGCAUGAAUAGAUUAGCAUCGAUCUUUUCUGCCUUCAUCAAUACAAGCGUGCCUUUAACGAUCUUUAUAAUUUCAUUCUCUAUAUGAGUUUUGUACCCAUGGCUAUCCAUUUGUCCCAAAGACAAUAGAUUUUUCUUCAUGCCGUUAACAUGUCGUACUUCCCCAAUUGUGCGAAUUGUACUAUCAAAUAUUUUUAUUUUGAUAGUACCAAUACCAGCGAUCUCCAAGGCAUGAUCAUCUCCCAUAUAUACAGAUCCUCCUGAGAUAGGUUCAUAUAUGAGGAACCAUUCUCUCCGAGAGGUCAUGUGCUAGGUAGCUCCUGAGUUUAUAAGGCAGACAUCAGAUAAUUGUUUUCUGCCUUCUGAAACAGUUGUUGCCUCGCUGUAGAGAAUUUUGCCAUCAUCUGAGGUACUUGCUACACACCCCUGAGCAUUUUAUAACUCGGGUUCUUUGCCUUCUUUUCUCUUCUGAUUACUCCAACACUCUUUCUUGAUGUGCCCUUUCUUACCACAGUUGUAGCAUUUAACAUUCUUCUUACUUCUGGAUUUUGAUCUACCAUGAUUGUGACUCCCACUGGGACCACGUUCCAUUGAUCUCCCUCUCGUCACUGAUAGCGCCUCCGCUUGCUACGAACUUGCUUGUCUGUUUUCUUUAUUUUUUUUGUCUGCUCUCCUCAUUUAAUACGGAGGCUGCAACAUCGUCGAAAACCAGACUAUCCGCUGGAUUUUUGUUCGUCAUGUUGAUGAUGAGUUGAUCAUAUGAAUCUGGUAGACUUUGAAGUAGAAGCUCUGCACGUUCAUUUGCCUCUAUAUUAUGACCCAACGUUGUGAGUUGUGAAAAUAGAGUCUUCAAGGUGUUGAUGUGUCAUUCGAAGAGUAUAGAGUUUCCUCUUCGAAGAGUAUAGAGUUUCCUCUUCAAGAAAUAAAUUUAUCAAAGAUAAAAUGGAGACAAAUGUAAAUAAAAAAAAAUGAAAAAGCAAUAAAUUAUUGAAGUUGUUUGUGAGUUUAUUCGACAGAUAAUGGAUGCGUAUGCCUUACCUGCUAUUAAGAUUAAUUAGCUUCUUCAUUAACCGAAUACGAAAUAUUGAGGGGGAAAAAAACACAUAAUUGAAUCUUGAUUAAGCUAAAAGAAAUAACUCUGUUCAACCCACAUAGGGAGAGCAAUACGGCUACUAGACUUAUCCAUAAAAUGGGGGACAAUACUAUCAUCUCGAAUAUCAUAGAUUCCCAUGUUCUUACCGUUUACUUUCCAUUUAUCAGUGAAUUGUAUUUCUACUUGAGAACAAUCAGUAAAGUAUAUGCAAUUUCGUUCGCAGAUCGAGGAGUCCAAUAUUUCAAUAGAAAAAGAAGAAUUAAGACCCAAGAAGAGUGCUCUAUUUCCCAAAUCCUUGACCUUCGUCCAUGUAUUAGUGGUUAAAUCCACCUCAAAAACCUGAAACUUAUUCGCUCUACUUCGUGUGACAACCACCAAUGCCCCUCCAGAUUCUACCAAAUAUAGUAUUGAAGAGGACAUAAGUAACGAGAUUGACAUCCGUGCCACAACAAUCAAGUUAUUAGGAACGUGACCAGUAAAAUCACAAACAAAUAUAUAACCGAGCCAAUUUAUAGCAUAAAACCUGCCUUUGUGAUAAAUAACAUCAUGAAACCUGUACCAAUUCCCAGUGUCUACAGUGAUCCAAGUUUCUUGGCCUGGUUUAAAAUAAGCUAGUCUUCUUUCACUUCCACAAACAACCAUUACCGUAUAAUCAGAGUGUCGCUCCAAAUUACUCGCAGAAACAACAAAUUUUUUGAAGAAGAAGGGAUGGUCGACGCAAUAUUCCCAGGGCAUAAACGUACGUAUGUUCGGAAGUUCAAGUUGAACCCAUGAAAAGGAUUCAAAAGACUUGCAUUUAGAUUUUGAACAUGGAGUCUCAGAAGCCAACCCUUGGAAGAAAGGCAGUUCCUGUGGGAAUUUGCUUCUGGUAACAAAAUACGGCGGCUCAUGCCCCUUGACAGACUGAAGAAACCACGUUGAUUAAUAUCGCCGCAAUUUAGUGGCAUAUGCAUAAGGAGAGGCAUCUGAUUAAACUUGUACAUAAAUUUUUUGAUAGCUGCAGCCCAUCUCCAUGAAGUACAAACCCAACGAAAAGAAACAAAAUCCUCGUACAAUUUUAUCCGCCCAGCAAUUUCGACCAACAGAUCAUGAUGAAGUUCCGAUCGACCAAUUCGCCAUUUCAGAGGCCACUCGACUAGAGAUUAAUUGAAAUACCCUAACCCCUUAAGACUAAUCUCGCUCUCUCUCUCUUGUUGAAAAUUGAGUAAAAAAAAAAAGAGAGUUGAAAAGUCAAUUUGGAAGAUAUCAUUUGAAUUCAAUUUGGAGAUAGUCGAGAAGUUUGAUAAGCAAUUAGAAGUGGUCAAAACUAUUGAAAUGGUGGCUAUUGAAUGUUGAAAAAUUGGCUUGAUUUUAGGCAAAAUCUUGCCUAUAAAAGGAAGCUCUCAUUUGAGAGCUUGGCAUCCCAAAUCCCAGAGAUGGAAUCCAAGUUUUGGUGAGAAAUUAAGAGGGAGAAAUAUUCUUAAGCAUGUAGUUAUAUUGAAGGAGCAUUUGGCUCCUCAAUACAGGUAUUAUGGGUUUGCUUUGUUAAGGGAUAUUUCUCAAGAUUAUGUAUUUGGGGCUUGGGUGAGAGAAAAUUUAUGAGAGUGUGGUUGUAAUAAUUUUCCACAUAGUGAAUAUUUUUUUUUCUCUGGUUGUCUUGUGACAACGGCCGUGGUUUUUCUCCGGAUUUAGAGUUUUCCACGUAAAUCUUGUGUUGUGUGAUUGGUAUAUUCUCCAUUCAAUUUUUCUUAUUAAUUUGUUGCUUGAUAAAUUGCUUGGAGAGAUCUUGGGAGGAAACUCAAUUUCCUAACAGUGGUNNNNNNNNNNNNNNNNNNNNNNNNNNNNNNNNNNNNNNNNNNNNNNNNNNNNNNNNNNNNNNNNNNNNNNNNNNNNNNNNNNNNNNNNNNNNNNNNNNNNNNNNNNNNNNNNNNNNNNNNNNNNNNNNNNNNNNNNNNNNNUUUUGGCACCUCAAGAAAAUUGUCAAGAAGGUGGAGUGGGCUCGGUAAAUUACUCCAGAAUCAGUAAAGGAGAUAAUGAUAUUCUCGUAGAUAGUGAGUUUCCUUUUGAUAGGAGAUUGGGUUAGUUCUUUUGGCAUGUAAAUCUCCAAGUUGCCAUGAAAGAGAACAUGCUAUGAUCAGCGGGGUACACAAGUUUGCACGCGGGCAUUGGCUUGGUAUAAAUGCAAGGUGUGUGAUGGAAAAGUUAUGUCAUGGCUGAAGAAUUCUCAGGGAAACCAAGCAUGAGAAUUGCACCAUAAUUUUCAGCGGAUAUGUUCGACAUGUGCCGAAAAAAAAAAAUCUUAGAAUGGUUAAUUCUAAGUGUUAUACUCUUUAUGGUGGAGUAUGAUAAUUCUCUAUGUUGAGAAUUAUGACUGUUGGUGAAGACAGUGCUUUGUAACAUUAGUUAUGAAUUUUUUUUUUUUUUUUUAUCAAGGUGGAGAUUGUUGAAAAUUGAUUAAAAAAAAAAGAGUUGAAAAGUCAAUUUGGAAGAUAUCAUUUGAAUUCAAUUUGGAGAUAGUCGAGAAGUUUGAUAAGCAAUUGGAAGUGGUCAAAACUAUUGAAAUGGUGGCUAUUGAAUGUUGAAAAUUUGGUGAGAAAUUAAGAGGGAGAAAUAUUCUUAAGCAUGUAGUUAUAUUGAAGGAGCAUUUGGCUCCUCAAUACAGGUAUUAUGGGUUUGCUUUGUUAAGGGAUAUUUCUCAAGAUUAUGUAUUUGGGGCUUGGGUGAGAGAAAAUUUAUGAGAGUGUGGUUGUAAUAAUUUUCCACAUAGUGAAUAUUUUUUUUUCUCUGGUUGUCUUGUGACAACGGCCGUGGUUUUUCUCCGGAUUUAGAGUUUUCCACGUAAAUCUUGUGUUGUGUGAUUGGUAUAUUCUCCAUUCAAUUUUUCUUAUUAAUUUGUUGCUUGAUAAAUUGCUUGGAGAGAUCUUGGGAGGAAACUCAAUUUCCUAACAUCUCUCUCUAUCUAUAUAUAUAUAUAGUGUAUGUUAACUAGAAAACCUUUUUCAAAUCGGAGGCGUACAAAAAAUUAACAUAGUAAUUUUGUACAUUGCGACAAGAAUCUAGUUAUGAAUUCUACUAAAAUCAGGAAAAGCAAGUCAAUUCCAAAUAGAACAAGAGUGGUAAAAUUGAAAUAACAAAAGUACUAUUCAAAUAAGAAAACUAGUAUGGGCUUGUAUGUAUCUGUCAAUUGGAUUCGGCCAAUAGCCAGUGCACGACCCACCAAAACUAGUGGGCAAUGAUCUCGUUAGCCAUUAUGGUUCUGUCAAUUAUACAUUAUGUGUUAGAUUGAAGACGUAGAAAAGGUGAACUUAAUGAGGAAAAAAGAAAGAAAGAAAGAAAGACGUCGUAAUAAUUUCUUUGUAAUGCUGCUAACCUAAGAUAAAUUGAAUCAAAUAGAAAUAGAACUGGGGUACGUGUGGUUGAGCUUGCUUUUGUUAAAUGGACAUCUCGUUCCCCUCUAAAUAUUCCCCUCUUGCCAUGUUUGCUCGCGGUGAAUUUUGUCAAAUUCUUUGGUUCUUUUCGAACCAGAGACGUGAAAAAAGAUUAAAUAAAUAAAAAAUAAUCAUAAUUUCAUUCUGUUAUUCCACAUUAUAUUUAGUUAUAGUAGGAUAAGGUCAAUCAAGUCAAAUCAAUCAUGAGUUUCAUUUGACUGGAUACUUGAGUUCUAACCCCCUUAAAAAAUAAAAAUGUCAAAAUAUGAAUAGUUUCUAUAUAUUGCUCAAGGAAAAUCAAGAGAAAAAUUAGAAUCAAUCAAGCACGGAGAAUUGCAAGGAGAAUAAUGGAUACUUAAACAAUAUACUGUUUUUAAUUACAAUAUAAUCUCCAAUGAUCUUAGAAACAAAUAAUUACUUAUGAAGCAUUGCAAGUAGUUUAUGUUGAAGUAAAAUAGAAACGUAAUUAAGAAUGAAAAAUACGUCAACAUUGUAGCUGCUUCUAAUUUUAGGCAGCAAAAUAAAUUUGAAAUCAAAUAUACAAACCAAUUUUUUUUAAAAAAAUAAAAUCUAAUCGUAAGUAAGCUAACUAAAAUAAUUAUGUUCAAGCCACAUGGAGAGAGCAAUACGGCUACUAGACGUACCCGUAAAAUGUGGGACAAUGCUACCGCGUCCAAUGCCGUAGAUUCCCAUGUCCUUGCCCUCAUUGGAGCCCCUUUCUACUUGACAAUCAUCAGUGAAAUAUGCCCCUCCUGAUUCUACCAAAUAUUACCGCUGCCCCAACGAAGACCAAGACAUUUAACACUUGUGCCAUAACCGUCAAAUUAAAUUAGAAUCCUCAGCACUAAAAUCACAAACAACUAUCCGCCCACACUUAGCUACAGCUAGAAUAAAACUUAUCUUUGUGACAAAUAACAACAAGCCUCUCCCAUUCCAAGUGUGUACACUGAUCCAAGAUUUUCGGCCUUGUUGGAAAUAACCAUUACUAUGUAAUCAGAGUUUUCCAGGUUACUCAAUGACACAAUAAAUCGUUUGAAGAAAAUGGAUUGGUGAUCUCGUUGAGGAAAUUCCCUAUAUUAUUACUACAACGUGUUCUAAAUGUGGUCGGAAGUUGAAUUUGAACACGUUAGAAAGGAUGCAAAAGAGACUUACAUUGCAAUUUCGAGCGUCAAAUGUUAGAAGCCAACCAUUUGAAGAAAGGCAGUUCCUGCAGGAAUUUGCUUCUGAUAACAAAACACGGUCGCUUAUGCCUUUGAAAGACUGAAGAAACCACAUUUGCUAUUGCUGCAAUUUAGUGGCAGAUGCAUAAGGAGAUGCAUCUGAUUAAACUUGUUCUUUUAAAUGUCAUUAUAUUCAGUUGUUAUUUUGUUUUGUUGACAAUAAUUUGUUUAGGUGUCAGUUAUUUAGGACCUAGUCAAGUAAGUGGUGGACUUAGUCUACGACUUGGUAGGAAUUAUUGCCCACUUACCUUUUUUUCAUGCUUAGAGUUGCCUGUCUUUAGGAAUAACCGUUGUCUUUUUGUUUAUAAAGGUUCAGUAAAUAAAGAUGCAUAGGUAACUCUGAAUUUGAACAACACCGGUGUGUUUCACAGGGAGGUGCAGGGUCUCUCGAACGAUUCUGAUUUAUUUUCUUGCUUUCCUUCUUAAAUAUUUCAUCUUGCAUCCAAAAUGUUAGGCAGGACUAACAAGACUGAUUCAAGCUCGCUGUACCAUGUUCGUAAAGCUGUUGAUAGUGCCAGCCAAUCUCCGUGAAGUACAAACCCAACAAAAAGAAACAAAGUCUUCAUACAAUUAACUAUUUGAAGAAUAAAUGUGACAUUUUAAUUGGAAAAUUAACUAAUUGAAGCCAAGAUCUAGAUCCAGUGGUAAAGUGCAAUUUUUAUAGAUUUCAAGUUUUGCGUUUGAAUUUGAAUGGGUGAGUAAAUUAAUAAUAAUAAUAAAACAAAUUAACUAGUUUUAAUCUACAGAGGUCUUAGAUCAUCAAAUAAUGAUAGAACCUCGAAUUUCAUAAAUUUUAAGUUGAAUGAUUACAUUAUUUCACCAUCUAGUGAAUAAAUGCCAAAUUAUUUAAGAAAAAUUUUGAAAAUAAAAUUUUGAGAUAUAUAUCACUACUCAAUUAAAUGUAGUAUAAAAAAUACAUCAGGGACCAAAAAUAUAAAAAUCCAUUAGAAAUUAAAAAAAAAUAUAAAAGUCAAUUUCUGAUUAGAAGAAUUAAAAUAUCAUUCUCCUAUAAUCAUUUCACUAGAUUUUAUAUAUAUUUAUUACAGCAAAAUUAAAAUAAAAAAUUGGCACCUAACCCUAACGUCUUUGACAUUGCUACCAAUAUCACUCACUCACAACUUACAAGAAUGAAUCUAGACUUAAUUUUCCCAGGGAAUUUUUAGUUUGACUUUACAUUUUCAGACCCAUUUGCCACAUAACACCUUAGUUGGUUAACAAAGCCCUUUCAUGAGAAUAUUAAAACUGCUGUCGAAUAAGCAUCUUAACAACCCCUUUUUUGACAUACAUGCAUGCCUCCUUAUGUGAAGAAAUUUGAAACAUAAAAGAAAAUUUCAAUCGAUGUGAGAGUUGGGAGUAUUUUAUAGCUUUUCUCCUCAUUAAUUAUGAAUUAAGAGAAUAUUUCUACGUCACUAAUGAUUAAAAUGAUCACUAUAUAAAGGGUAGCAAAGUAUGUUUAACAUCAAGUCAGAAAACACAAUUUUAAGGAAAUGGGAACUCGGGGACAGGCGAGGCAAUGGCCUCAAUUGUUUUGUGCUAUGGCAUUUUUGCUUAUAGCCACCACCACCAAGGCAUCGGCUGAUGAUUAUGCCUCAGCACCACCACCAAAGCAUUCUCCUCCACCUCCUUACGACUACAAAUCACCACCUCCUCCUUCUCCCUCUCCACCGCCACCAUAUUAUUACAAGUCUCCCCCACCACCAUCUCCAUCUCUUCCACCGCCUUACUACUAUAAAUCACCACCUCCACCAAAAUAUUCUCCUCCACCACCUUACUACUAUAAGUCACCACCUCCACCAGUGAAAUCUCCACCUCCGCCAUAUUACUAUAAAUCACCACCACCACCAAAACAUUCUCCCCCGCCACCUUACUAUUACAAGUCACCACCACUACCAGUGCAUUCUCCCCCACCGCCUUACUAUUACAAAUCUCCGCCAACACCAAAGCAUUCUCCCCCGCCACCUUACUACUACAAAUCUCCACCACCACCAAAACAUUCCCCACCACCACCUUACUACUAUAAGUCACCGCCUCCACCAGUAAAGUCUCCACCACCGCCACCAAAGUAUUCUCCCCCACCACCUUAUUAUUACAAAUCACCACCUCCACCAGUGAAGUCUCCACCUCCGCCAUACUAUUAUAAAUCACCACCACCACCAAAGCAUUCUCCCCCGCCACCUUACUAUUACAAAUCUCCACCGCCACCAAAGUAUUCUCCCCCACCACCUUACUAAUACAAAUCUCCAUCACCACUAUCUCCAUUCCCACCUCCAUCUUACAUUUAUAAAUUCUCACCGCCACCAUCUACAUCACCUCCACCUCCACCUUUGUCACUAUCACUAUUGCCUCCCUACUACUACAAGUUGCCACCACCUCAUUCAUCUUUGCUUUCGUCGUAUUACUACAAAUCACCCCCUCCUCCUAAAGACUACUAAGUUCAAUGUCCCUUCUUGAAACAAGAUUAAAGUUCAAUAAGAAUAAAUUUGUUCCUUUGGUUGCCUUUCUUAUGAUUUUUUAUGUCAAUCUUUUUAUGAAUAAUUUGUAAGAAGCGUUUAGUGUACCGUUUGUCAUGUGCAAUAAAAAUCUUGUAACUUAAUGUAUCAAAAAAAGAAGUAUUGUUCCAUAAGAAUUAUUCUAUUGUUUUAUCACGUGU